CCAAGCUUGGAGUAGACACCGACAGGCCGGACUUCCUCCGAUCUACACCUCCACUCUAUCUCUCUCAAUCUAGUAGAAACUAGAAGAUCUAUUUCUACCUUACAUUGGUUGCUAAGCCUAAAAAGAAAUAUUAAUUAGAGAAGAGGUUUUCCUUCGAGGGCACCCCUCAAUCUCUAUGAUAAUUUCUUCAUGUCUUCUCCUGGGGCCAGGGGGUCUCCUUAUAUAGUCCUCCCCUUCUAUGCGUUUUUGGGUCGGUAGGCGAUGUGGUACUACGUUAUUCUGGAUCCAAUAGGUCGGUGGAGAUCUCCCGAGAGAAAGAGUCCUGAUUGGGCUCGGCAGGUGGGCGGGCGCCCAAGGAAACUGGGCGGGCGCCCAGGUCCUGGCCCCGUUUCGCCUCCGCUUCGGUCUCGUGGCUUCUGGAGUCUUCUAGAUGUUAGAAAAUUGCGCGGUGCGUUGAUAUCUCUAUGUAAUCCUAACAUGUGGGCCUUUCUUCCUUAUUUCCUGAUAACCCCCUGCAGAAGUAGACAAACACCAAAACUCGUGGAAUUCUGUCAGAUAAAACCCUAAGUCUAGAUGUUGAUUUCAUUUGGAUCCUUUUCUUUGUUUAUUUGAUAAUUAAAUUUGAUACUUAAGGACCGUCAACAAGCUCCCCCAAGCUUACCUCUUGCUCGUCCCUGAGCAAGGAUAGACUCAGCAAUGGAUUAGAAGUUGUUACAAUAUGUUUAAAAAUUGACGAUACACAUGUUUUUUAAAUAAGAUCUCAUCUCUGAGUUAGAGUAAACUGUCAAGACUUAAAACUUACUUUACCUUCACCAUGGGACUUGUAACCGUCACUUCUGUCUUGAGAGGUUAAAAGAUAGAACAGUCUAGCCAAGUGCUAUGUCUCUUAUUCUUGAUGAGCUAUAGCUCUGGGUUUUUUGCAGAUUUUCAAAUAAAACUCAGAGAUUCCUUGUAUGACUCUCUCAUAUCUCUCUUUUGUGGUAUUUCUGGAUCCUUACCAAGGCAUUGAUGGUAUAUGCCUUCUCUCAAGAUAUGUGGUAUUUGUGGUAUAAGGCAUUGCCUUCUCUCUCACCCUACUCUAAUUAGGCUUGAUAUCUGGAGCUCAUAGGUGGGAGACAACUAAUACAUACUUACAAGACAUUUAUUGCAUAGUCAAACCAUGGAUCCAGAGAAACAAAUCAAUAAUCCAAAUCAAGAUGUGCAUGUGUGGCGAAUGAAUGGUGUAUGGUGAUGAUGGUAAUAACAAUGGUGAAAGUCUAAUUCUACUUUUGCUCUUUUGAGGGGAUACAUACCUUCCUUGCUUUUUUGAAACUUUAUGAGGAGAAUGAGAUGCUCUCUCUUUUUUUUUCUUAGGUGGGUAUCUUGUACCCCUAAUUCUACUGUCGGACACUUGUCCAUUUUUACCUCUCAUCUCACUUUUUCUUUCUUUCGAGGUUCCGGGCACUUGCCCCUUUUUAUUUCCUCAUUUAUAUAUUUUUUUCUUCUCUUUUCUUUUUUUCAGAGCACUCAUCUCUUGAGAUAAUAUAGCAAGUGGUAGUAACCAAAAUAUUUGGAGCAUUUAUUUCACAGGGAAUAACAGGGAUAGGAAAAUAUUUGGAGCAUUUAUUUCACAGGGAAUAACAGUAGAAUAUUUUUGGGUGAUUCUGGAGAUGGAAAUGGAUGGAUAUAUAUGUGGAUGGUACUUCCGGAGUAGAAGUAGCAUAUAUGAGUGAACGUGCAAGUGAAUCUUGAUUUAACCACAUGACAAGUUCCUAAGGGUCUACACAGCUUGACCACACUCAAUGCUCAUAAGCAGUAAAUAGUAAAUGUGUGGCUCAAAGUCUAGCAAGCAUGUAUAUAUGGCUGUGGUAGGAAUUUAAACUCUUAUCAUACAGGAACUCAUCAUGCAAUAUUUAAAAGAUUUUUCAAAGAUAAAAUUCUCCAGAAUUCUAGCAUCUCUAGGAACAGAUAAACAGCAGCUCAACCUUCCCAUAUCACAUCCGUUAACAACUUAGAUUUCAGAUCAAGUUUUCAUCCCACAAGUUUAGAUCUAGAGCAAGCUUUAAAUUAUAACAGUUAUGUCUAAACUUGAGAGGGAACUUGAAAAUUGCAAAUUAGGCAGAGCAACUAUUCAUCAUAUCCGUGCUAGAGUUUUAUUAUUAAGAUUCAGAUUAGCAUAGCCACUUUAUUUAUUUAUUAAACAUACUAAGCAUAAGAUAUAUAUAUAAGCACAAAAUAUUUAUUUUGUUUUUUCAUAGUUUAUGUAUUUUAAUAUUCUAACAUAAUAUAAGUAUAAAGAUAGGUAGAAAUACUUAGCGAGAAUAAUGGGGGUGCUCUACCCCAAGCUGAAUUUUGACGUAAUUUCUCUUGAUGUAGCUAGCAGGUGGCAGAGGUGUAUUUGAAAGUCAGCAGCAUUCUGACAGCGAUUAGAAUGUCCUCCGUCUGCUAGUCUUCUUGAUUCUUAAAUUCUGUGGAGCUCAAAUAGGCAACAAAGCUUGUGGAACUAAUUAAGUGUUAGCAUAAAUAUCUAGCCUUCAUCAUGUUGAGCUUCCUUAAUAAAUGUUAUUUAUUUAGCAGAAUUAUACACUUAUUAUUAUUAUUAUUAUUAUUAUUAUUUUAUAUUUUUAUUGUAAGAUGAAAACUUAUUUAUUUUAUUUUUUUGCCACCACAGUGAAUGUACUUAUGGGUUUUAUGCCAUGAGCAUACUCACAUGGGGCUUACUAUUUAACAUUUUUAUUUUCUUUUCAAGAUAGCAUGAACCUGAUUAACUAAUCAAAUUAUAAUUGAAUAAUUGAAAGGAAAGGGUAACUACCAAGUUUACCUCUUAGCAAGGCGUUCGGUAUUUUUAAGUCCUCUGAAUGGGACUCUCUGUUUUCUCAGUCGUCCUACGAUUUGCUAGGUGGCGUAGUCGGUGAUUCCGGCGGCGCCUCUCUUCGUGUAUAACUAUCUUCUCCCUACACACCUGACUCGGUGCUACGGUCUCCUCAGAACAGUUCUGUUCAAGCUGUAUGUCUUCAGUCCUUAUCACUUCUCCAUCGUAGUCUACCCAUCUGUUCUUGAUGAUUUGCCUCCUCUGGUUGCGGUUGCGUCGUCUUCUUGUCCUGACCUGCUUAGAGUCUUCAACUAUAUAGUUAUGGUCAGUAAAAUAGUUGCGUACCUUCUCAGAGGGGAAGUACAUGUGGACUUCUCUGGUUCCAAUGUAGAUGAUUGCUUUGAUAGUGUUGAGGAACGGUCUUCCAAGGAUGGUGGGUGGAUCAUAUUCGUCUUCUCCCAUAUCAAUGACCUGAAAAUCAUUUGGAGCUGAAUAUAUUGGUUGUAGGGGCAUGGUUCCAUGCAGGAGCUGAUAAGUGACUACGGCCAGUAUGUUGUCGUCAGAUCCGGUGUCGUAGAGUGUCUUCUGAAAAGAGUAUCCAUUGAUUGUGCACUCGCUGCUUGGAACACCAGGGUCCUCCUUGAUCAAGAAAGGUGACUUGAGUCGACGAUGUUGACCUCUUCUGACAAGGUUCCAUUGUUUUAAGUCUUCUGGACAAGACUUUCCACCAUCUUCAUCCUUUAGGUGCAUCAUUUGAUUAGGUGUGGACCUUGACGUCUGCACCUCUUGAUACGGUGUCACCCAUGUUCUUCUUUGCCCAGCAGUUCGAAAUAUGGUGUUGGCAAUAUCCUGCUCAGUGUGUUUGUGCUCAUAGAUCCUGGUCCUUCACUUGGUGGAGUCUGGGAGUUGUAAAACUCCUCCAUGUUUUGCUUGAAGUGUACCUGUUCAAUAGAGACAAGGCAGAGAUCAAGUGCAUGGGCUCUGUUGGUGGAAAACACCAAUAGAACCAAAAGUGUAUUUGUUCUUCUCUAACCUUAAGCAUAGUGAGCAAGACAAAGUUGAUGGAUAAUAAGAUCAUGAGUGUAGUAUUUGAAACAUUUGUCAGAUCAGAUGGCUCAACCUAAUGGAAAGAUAAUCUAUCUAUAUUUAUGUUUUGUUUAUAUCUUCCAAAUAUUGAAUGUGCAACAUAUUAGCUUAUAUGUUUAGGAGGGUGGGAUCACGAAGGUAGUACUAAGAACAAAGAUUAAAGGACUAAACAUGUUGAAUUAAUUGAGUUGGUUAAUCUGGAGUUAUCAUACAUGUUUGUCUCUUUAUUUAUGUGAAUGCUAGAACCAAGGAGAAGCUUAUAAAAGCGAUAGUCAACUACCUUAAGGUGUUACCUUACUUGAAGAGUGACGGUACAGUAUCACCUUGUGGAAGCUUUCCUUUCUUAGCGGUUGUGCAUCGUGUUUGUGGCACCCUCCAUGAAUCAUUUCUUAUGAGCCACGUCUUUCUUGUGCAAAUUGUUAAACUUUAUGUGUCACUUUCUUCAUCUCCAAUGCGACUUUAUCUCAGGACUUCCCAGGUUGAUAUUGAAAGUUUUUCUGCAGGGGUUAGUCCAACAAAAUAUCCCAUAUAUACUAUAGCAUACUAUCGGCUUAAAAAUCAACCUAGACACCAUGUCUAAUUUGAUUUAGAAGGGCAUUUUAACCUAAGCACCAUGCUUAAUUUAAAAUCCCUUGGAAGUAAGAUCAUCAUUCCUAAACUAAGCACCAUGCUUAAUUAAGAGAUAAAUGAAACUAUUCCAAACCUAGACAUAUACUAAAGCAAAUAAAGGUAGCAUGAGAGCAUUUAUAGAGAUCUACUUAAGUGGAGAUGAAGUAGUGUAAUUAGUAUUUAACAAAUUGAUCAUGUCUCAAAGGUAAGGACAACCAACGUAGCAACAUGGCAAAAUAUGUUUUUAUGUAAAGUACUCCCCCAAGCUUGAAUUUUACAAAAUUCAAGUUUGGAUGAAUUUAAUUCAAUGUUGUGUGAUGGUUGGUUGGACAUACCCUGUGCUUGUCAUUCAUCCGAUCUUCUUGCUCCAAUCCUAGAAUGGUUAGUGACAAGAAUACCCGAAGGAAUAUUUCUGCAAUUAUCUUUCAAUACACAAGGCAAUGUUGCAAAUAAUUAGAAGUUCAUGUUAUGAUCUGAUAAGUGCUUGUUUUAGGACACUAAGCUUGUUCUUGGGAAACCAUCAAGUUAUGUUGGUGAAGUGGUUUCCCCUCCAACACCUACCUAUAUCAAGAUCAACCCAACGAGAUCUGCAAUAUUUAUUAUAGACAUAUACAUCGACAACCGCCCUUUUAAAGUUUUUAUAAAUGAAGAGGAAGAGGGGGUUGGAGAUCUCAAAUGUGGUAAGGAUGGAGAGACAAAUUGAUUGGAGAGAUGUUUUAUAUGAGCAAGGACUGGGUGAGGUAUUUAUGAAAUAACUUCCAUGCUCACUGUUGUUUCUCUCAUUCUUAAACUCCAAGGAUGAUUCUUCAUGAAUGCUUAAAAUUCCUCUAGGAUUGUCUCUCAAGUUUGUUUUAUCUAUCCAUUCAAUGGUGAUAGCACAUGGAUUUUUAAUGCCCUCUAGCCAUUGAUGUUGCUCUUCUCGAUCCUCCUUCUUAUGCAUGGGAUGUCUAGAGAGAUUCAUAGGAUUAUCGGGAGGUUCAAGAGAAAAAGCAUAGUAGAAAUUAUUAAGCUCAAGGAUGGGUUGGAUAGCUGAAUUAUGGGAUUGAAAUGUUUGGAAAUCGGCUAUUGAAACUUCCUCUCCUUGUAUGGGAGAUGAUUCCUUCUCUAUCUCUAAGAUUUUUCUAUGAAGACUAGUGCAAGAAGGAUGUCUACGAAUGAAGACAUACCUUCCUUUACUAAUAGAUAAAGAAAGAAAGACUCUACCAAAGGUUAUAUGAUUAAGACCAAUGUGAAAAUAUCUAGGAAAAACAUGGUCUUGUCGGGCUAUGUCUAAACCAGAAUUUAUAGAAAAAUUAAAAGAUUCCCUAGGCGUAGCUAAAAGUGCAUUAUCUUUUUGAUUAAAAGAUAGGACCUCAGCUAUAGAAAAGGGUUGGUUUUGACCUAUUGCAAUCAACUCCGGACACAAAUCAUAAUUAGGGGCAGGACGUGUUGACUCCCAUGGUCUAUGGCUGGUCUCCGAAGGUGCAAAGAAUUUAAUAAUAGGUAUGGAAUUUGAGUUAUCCAUAAAGAUAAAAAUAAAAAUAUAAAAGAAUAAAAGUAUAAAAGUAUAAUACAAGAUAAUAGCAAGACUCAAAGUUAUCUCAGCAAAAUGUCUUUCUCCCCGGCAACGGCGCCAGAAAUGCUUGUUGAUAUUUGGUAACGCAAUAAGGAAACGAUCCGCAAGCGCACGGAUAUCGGUGAGCAUUUCACCCGGGAGGUUAUCCAGAGUUAUCGUAUUUAUAUUUUUACCACUGGGAGAAAGGGUGCAUCUGACUAACCAAAUCUAUUGCUACUAUCCCUUUAGGCACAAAGAAUGUCUUUCGAUGUGAGUGAUAAAUAGAGAAGACUGCAACCGUAGUCUCCUUCUAACCUUGGUAAGGAUGAUCUACUGUUCUAAUGGGGUGGCUAACGGAAUCUAGACACCACAAAGGAUGUUCAACCCGCACCUAUAAACCCUAUCCUUCCUGCUAACGAGAUGUGAUCUGCAAAGGUAACUCGGAAUUGUCACGUUCCUCACUACUACCACGGUCUAGUCAGGGAAUAUCUAUGAGUACCCCAGCCUAAACAUCACGUUUACGCCAGCAAUGAUUACUCUAAACUCUACGCGAAGAGAUUAAAGUAAACUCAUAAACCAUAAGAACAAUAAAACAAGAACUUACUAGAAUUUAGAAGUCGAAAUACCGAAGAAUCCUAGGAGCAAGCUUCGGGUUAGGAGAACUUGAUCCCGCAGGUACAAGCUUGGAGUAGACACCGACAGUCCGGGCUUCCUCCGAUCUACACCUCCACUCUAUCUCUCUCAAUCUAGUAGAAACUAGAAGAUCUAUUUCUACCUUACAUUGGUUGCUAAGCCUAAAAAGAAAUAUUAAUUAGAGAAGAGGUUUUCCUUCGAGGGCACCCCUCAAUCUCUAUGAUAAUUUCUUCAUGUCUUCUCCUGGGGCCAGGGGGUCUCCUUAUAUAGUCCUCCCCUUCUAUGCGUUUUUGGGUCGGUAGGCGAUGUGGUACUACAUUAUUCUGGAUCCAAUAGGUCGGUGGAGAUCUCCCGAGAGAAAGAGUCCUGAUUGGGCUCGGCAGGUGGGCGGGCACCCAAGGAAACUGGGCGGGCGCCCAGGUCCUGGCCCCGUUUCGCCUCCGCUUCGGUCUCGUGGCUUCUGGAGUCUUCUAGAUGGUUGAAAAUUGCGCGGUGCGUUGAUAUCUCUAUGUAAUCCUGACAUGUGGGCCUUUCUUCCUUAUUUCCUGAUAACCCCCUGCAGAAGUAGACAAACACCAAAACUCGUGGAAUUCUGUCAGAUAAAACCCUAAGUCUAGAUGUUGAUUUCAUUUGGAUCCUUUUCUUUGUUUAUUUGAUAAUUAAAUUUGAUACUUAAGGACCGUCAACAAUAGGUUGUGGAAGAGGUCGUGCUGCUGAGGGAGCGGGCUCUGACGGUCGAAGAGGCUGCGUCUAAAGCCCGGGAGGAGGCCCUGUCUUACAAGAACGACGUUGCAGACCUGGACAAGGAGAAGGGCCUCCUCAAGACUGACCUGGACUCCAUCCGAGAAUCCUUCCGGAGGAUAAAGGUGGAGUAUGUGGACAGUGAGGUCGCCAGGGGCGCCGCAGAGGAGGCAAAGAUGAAGGCCCUCGAAGAUCUUGAGGCGGAGCGAGUUCGAUCCCGCAGCCUCUCUGACGACGUCGAUCGUCUAAAGGGGGAGCUGUUGGAGAAGAAUGGAGCCAUUGCUCAGGCUGGCAAGGCGAUCGAGGAUCUUCGUGUCGCCAACACUAAGCUGGCACGCUCCAACAGAGAGAUCGAGAGGGCCAACACCAAAUUAGUUGGUGAGAACACAGCCCUGGAGGAGAGCAUCCGCGGUACGUUUCUAUUGUCGGAUUUCCUUUUCGUGGUGUGCUUGGUUUUUUUUUCUAAAGCUUUUGCGUUGGCAUUCACAGGGCUUAAGGACGAGCUCUUGGCCGCCCAAGUCGAGGCUCGCAGCCCCAAGGCCCAGCUCGAGGCGGAGGUUGCUUUGAACGUCGAGUUCGGACGGCGAUAAGCGAUCUCUCGACUUCUUGGGAGGUCGAGCCCAUGGACGAGUCGAAGGAGGAAGCUCGAGGCGACGCACUGGUCGACCAGCUGUGCUACUUAGGCGCGACGCUGAGAGAUCGGGUGUGGGAUGCCCUCCAUAUCGGGGUAAAGCGGGCAAUGGCGGUUGUCUGCUCACGCUUUUCCUACGACAUGGAGGUGGUGACCCACGGCUUUGUCACUGACAUUUCCAAGACCGACGCAGAGAACAAAGAAAGGCUCCAUGCCUUGAUCGACGAUGCAGAGGUUCUCGGGGAGAGGUUGGCUAAGCUGUUCGAGCCCGAGGUACUUCCCCCUGAGACUAGGUCAGGCACAGGCGAGGGUGGUGAGGACCGUGAUGCGGACUAAGGCCUAUGAGCCUGCUCUGGGUGCUUGGGCCCUUUGUAUAGUACUUUGUUAAUUUGUAUUUAAGUAAUAUCUUUUAAGUGGUUGUUAAAUGUUUAUCUGUCUUUCCUCUCGAGGUUCCUUUAUUCCUUUUUGUGCCUAUGUUUGUUUUUCUCACUUGGUCUUUUGUUCGAGGUGGUCUCGAUUGCCUCAAGGGUGAGGGGGCGAGUAGAGUUUCCAUAGCCCGGGGGCAUAGGAGUUCUCAGGCCCAUCGUUUCUCGGUCCUUAAGGGGGGCUCAAGGUACCUUUACUACUCAACCGUAUGAGAUUACCAAUAGGAACGAAAGGAUUACUUGGUUUUUUCGACACUUGGGGGGUCACCCCCCUUGCUAGCCCCCGAGGGGGUAUCGACUAUGAUGGGUCAUAGUCGAUACUCCCUUCUAAUGUUGAGACUUUGUGAAAAGGUAAAUCGCUCGAGGGAAAGACUUUAUUUAUUCAUGCAAUCGUUUCAAGGCCUUGGUACAGAAUGUACGCAGGAACAUAAAGCUUUGAAAUUCUAGGGGUAGAAUCGACGUAGCUGUUCGAUGUUCCACGCGUUGGUGCAGAUCGCCCCAUUUUCGUCUGCGAGCUUGUAUGUCCCUGGCUUCAAGACCUCGGCCACCACGUAUGGGCCCUCCCAAGGUGCAGUCAACUUGUGGCGUCCUUGAUUGCUUUGCCGCCGUCGUAGGACAAGGUCGCCCACGUUUAAGUCCCUCUUGCGCACGUGUUUGUCGUGGUAGCGUCGAAGCUUCUGCUGGUAUCUCGCAGAGUUGAGGAGGGCCAUGUCUCGAGCCUCCUCGAGCUGGUCGACCGCAUUCUCUUGAGUCUCCUUAUUUGAUUGCUCGUUGUACGCUUUGAGUCGAGGGGAUCCAUACUCGAGGUCCGUUGGGAGCACGGCCUCGGAGCCAUAGACCAUGAAGAAUGGGGAGUAUUUUGUGGCCCUGCUUGGCGUUGUCCUUAGGCUCCAUAGGACCGAGGAAAGUUCCUCGACCCAUUUCUUGUCGAAUUUCUUCAAGCGAUUGUAGAUCCUUGGUUUGAGCCCUUGCAAAAUCAUACCGUUGGCACGCUCGACCUGGCCGUUAGUUCGAGGGUGGGCCACUGCAGACUAGUUCACACGGAUGUGAUGCUGAUCGCAGAAGUCCAAGAACUUUUUGCCGGUGAACUGAGUGCUGUUGUCGGUGAUGAUGACGUUGGGAAUCCCAAACCUGUGGAUGAUGUCAGUGAAGAAAAGGACAGCCUGCUCGGAGCGAUACGGCGGGCCUCGGAUCGAUCUUCUGGCAACUCGCAGCGGAUUAGGCAGUCGAGGAACGGUGUGCGCCAGUCAAACGAUCGACCGGGCCACUGUCCCACCUCCAUUACUUCAGCCGCCAUUAGCAGCGCUUCGACGUUGUCGGCCUGUUGGGCCGGAGAGGCUUUGACACCAGCCCCCGAGCCCAAGUCGACGGAUGGCUCAUGUAGAUCCCUUGAGAACACGUCAGGCGGUACCGUGCUUCGUGUCGACGCGAUCUUGGUGAGUUCGUCGGCCGCCUCGUUGUAGCGUCGGGCGACGUGGACGAGCUCGAGGCCAUGGAAUUUGUCCUCGAGUUGACGGACUUCCUUGCAGUACGCCUCCAUUUUCGGGUCGUGGCAGCUUGAGGUCUUCAUCACCUGGUCGAUGACGAGUUGGGAGUCGCCUCGGACGUCAAGGCGUCGGACUCCUAGCUCGAUGGUGAUCUUGAGACCGUUGACGAGGGCCUCGUACUCCACGACGUUGUUGGAUCCUGAUGACAUAUCUCAUAUGAACGCCUAGGGGCGAGAUGAACAGCAGGCCGGCCCCAGCUCCCGUCAUCAUGAGAGACCCGUCAAAAUACAUCAUCCACAGCUCCGACUGAACCUGAGUCGGAGGAAGCUGGGAGUCCGUCCACUCUGCGACGAAAUCUACCAGGGCUUGUGACUUGAUAGCCUUACGAGGCGCAUAAGUGAGAGUCUCACUCAUGAGCUCGACCGACCAUUUGGCUAUUCUUCCCGUUGCCUCCCUGCUUUGGAUUAUCUCGCCCAGGGGGAAGGACGAGACCAUUGUGAUAGGGUGGCCGAGGAAAUAGUGCUGUAACUUGCGUCGGGCGAGGAUUACGGCGUAGAUCAGCUUCUGGAUUCGGGGGUAACGCGCAUUGGUCUCUGAGAGCACCUCGCUGACGAAAUAGACCGGCCUCUGAACUGGCAACGCAUGCCCUUCCUCCUGCCUCUCGACCACCGCUGCACUGACGACCUGGGUCGUCGAGGCAACGUAAAGGAGCAGUGGUUCUACAGGUUGAGGUGGGACCAGGACUGGUGGUGAGGUCAGCGUUUUCUUCAGGUUUUCGAGGGCUUCCUCGGCCUCGGAGGUCCAAGAGAAACGCUCGACCUUCUUCAGAAGUCGAUACAGUGGCAACGCCUUUUCUCCUAACCUCGAUAUGAAACGACUCAGCGCCGCUAAACAUCCCGUGACUCUCUGGAUGCCCUUGAUGUCUCGAAUCAGCCCCAUUCUUUUGAUGGCCGUGACUUUCUCGGGGUUGGCCUCGAUCCCGCGCUGGGAAACGAUGUAUCCUAGGAGCAUGCCUCGAGGCACGCCGAAAACGCAUUUCUCAGGGUUGAGCUUGAUCUGGUUGGCGCGUAAACAGCUGAAAGCGAUCUCGAGGUCCUAGAUCAGGUCUCCUCGUUGCUUUGACUUGAUGACGAUGUCGUCGACAUAGGCCUCGACUGUCGACCCUAUGUGCUUGCCAAACACAAGGAGCAUGCAGCACUGGUACGUGGCUCCCGUGUUUCGAAGCCCGAACGGCAUGGUUACAUAGCAAUACAUCCCAAAAGGUGUGAUGAAAGACGUCGCGAGCUGGUCGGACUCUUUCAUUUUUAUUUGAUGGUAACAAGAAUAUGCAUCAAGGAAAGAAAGGGUUUCACAUCCCGCAGUAGAAUCAACAAUUUGAUCAAUACAUGGUAAUGGAAAGGGAACUUUUGGACAUGCUUUAUUUAAACUCGUAUAAUCGACACACAUCCUCAUUUUCCCAUUCUUUUUCUUAACUAGUACAGGGUUUGCUAACCAGUCGGGAUGGUGAACCUCCUUGAUGAAUCCGGCCGUCAAAAGCUUGUGGACCUCCUCGCCAAUGAUCUUGCGCUUCUCUUCGUCGAAUCAGCGCAACCGUUGCUUCACUGGCUUGGAACUGGCUCGAAUUUCCAAGGAGUGCUCGGCGACUUCCCUUGGUAUGACUGGCAUGUCCGAGGGACUCCAUGCAAACAUAUCGGCGUUCGCACGGAGAAAGUCGACAAGCAUAGCUUCCUAUUUGGGGUCAAGGUCGGCGCUGAUCGUCAGCACCUUGCCGUCGGUGUUGUUAGGGUCGAGCGGGAUCUUCUUGGUUCCUUCUGCUGGCUCGAAGCUGCCCGCGUGGCUCUUGGGCUCUGGAGCCUCAGCGGCCAGGGCCUCGAGCUUCGCGACGAGCUCGGUGGAAUUCUCGACCGCCUCCCCAUACUCCACGCACUCGACGUCGCACUCGUAAGCGUGCUCGAAGGAUGAGCUGACGGUGAUGACGCCUUUGGGACCGGGCAUCUUCAGCUUCAAGUAGGUGUAGUUGGGUAUAGCCAUGAAUUUGGCGUAGCCCGGGUGCCCGAUGAUGGCGUGGUACAUGCCCCGGAACCCAACCACCUCAAAGGUGAGGGUCUCCUUACUGAAGUUGGCCGCCGUGCCAAAGCAGACCGGUAGGUCGAUUUGACCCACCAGCAGCGCCUUCUUCCCUGGCACGACGCCAUGGAAACCGCCAGCGCUUGGUUGGAGCCGCACCCUGUCGAUGCCGAGGAGGUCGAGGGUCUCGAGGUAGAUGAUGUUGAGGCUGCCGCCGCCGUCAUCAGCACCUUUGAAACCGGGUGUUGACGAUGAUGGGGUCGACGACGAGCGGGUAGACGCCUGGGGCGACUACCUUGUCUGGAAGGUGAUGGGGGUGCUCGACCAGCUGAGGUACUGGGGCACCGCCAUUCUUGCUGCGAAGACCUCACGGCGCUCCCUCUUGCGCUGCCUUGUGGUCAACUGCGUCAAGGGGCCACCAUAGAUCAUGUAACAGUCGUGGAUGGCUGGGAAGUCGUCGUCGUCUUUGUUGUCCUCCUUGUUGCCGCCCUUCUCCUUCUUUGGGUCGUCGCGCGCGUCCAUUUUGAACCCCAGACCGUCGAAAUGCUUUUUCAGCAUACGACAGUCCUUGAGCUUGUGGUUGGCUCCUCCCUUAUGGUAAGGGCAUGGCUCCUCUAGCAUCUUAUCGAAGAUGCCUCCAUCUAGAGGGCCUCGAGGCCUCUUGCGUUCCAAGGCGGCGACGAGAUCGUCGUCGAAGUCUUCCCGCUGGAACUGCCGCGCUUUCUGUUUCUUCUUGUUCUUCUUGGGCCCCCGACUAGGGGUCCCAUCUUCAUCUGUGUGCUGCUUGCCUUUCCUUCCUUCACAGCUGAAGAAGGCACCGACCACUUCCUCCCCUGCUGCGUAAUUUGCCACUACGUCCAUGAGCUCAUCGACGGUCUGAGGGCGAUUCCGACCCAACUCCCGCACCAAGUCUCGACUGGUGGUACCAGAGACAAAGGCCAGGAUGACGUCGUGGUCGGGGAUAUGCGGUAGCUUGGUGCGCUGCUUCGAGAAGCGUCGAGCGUACUCUCAAAGAGUUUCCCCUGACUUCUGCUUGCAUUUGCUGAGGUCCCACGAGUUGCCGGGUCGUAUGUAGGUCCCUUUGAAUUUACCCUCGAAAACUCUAACCAAAUCGACACAAUCGUGGAUCUGAUCAGCCGGGAGUUCCUCGAGCCACCGACGGGCGGUGUCGGAGAGGAAAAGCGGUAGCUGUCUGAUGAUGGCUCGAUCAUCUCCUCGAGCGCCUCCUAGCUGACAGGCCAGCCCAAAAUCGGCCAGCCACAACUCUGGUUUGGCUUCACCGUUGUACUUUGCGAUGCUGGUCGGGGGUCGGAACGGACUAGGCUGGGGCGUGCUGCGGAUUGCCCUGCCGAACACCCGUGGGCCUGGUGGCUCGGGGGCCAUCCGGUCCUCAUCGCUGUCGUACCUCCCACCGCGAUGUGCACUGUAACCGCACUCUUCCGCGUCCCCAUGCCGACGGCGUCGAUUCUCUUCGAUGUCGCGUCAUGCAUCAUGUCGACGUUGGUUGUCGACAGGGAGGACAAGCGUGGUCUUUUUUGCUCGGGGGGUGGCUGUUGAUGGACUGACACCUCCUUUUCGUUUUGGGCUGGCUCAUCGCGCCUUUCAGUGGCAGCUCCUCGACGUCGUGAAGCCGAGCUUUCGGCUUGUUGAACUGCCGCUACUUGGAGCAAAGUCUGUACCUCGUCUCGAAUGCGUCGAGCUUGGGAGUUCGAUGGUUCUGGCAUGUUGCGCAGCAGCAUCGUCGCUGCUACUACAUUCUGGCCUGCUCGAGGGAAACGACUGACGGGCUGCUCUGGCUCUGUGUCCCCGACGAUUUGCCGGUGUACCUCUCGAGCUCGUCUACGGACACUUCCGCCAGGCGGGUAAGGCAAGUCUUGCUCGAGGAUUUGCUCAAGCAGGACGAGGCGCUCUCGAUCCUCGUCAAGCUUUGUCUUGAGCUCUCGCAGCUGCGCAUGUUGCGCGGCCCUGUCUUCCUGUGGAAGUGGGUCGACCUGUCCGUCGUUCCCAGGCAUCCUGGGGUCUUCUCUUGCAGCAGGGGCUCGACCGCCGGCAGCAGCAUCCUGCACCUCGUCGGUAGUUUCUACCGCUCCGUCGACGUGAUAGCAUUCCCUAGUAGGGUCGUAGCUAUCGGUCUCGGAGUCGGAGUCCGGCUCUGCGGCGUAGAAACAUCCACGUCCCUCCUCCAGCAGCCGCUGCCUAAGCGAGGUGAUCGUGUAUCGUCCAGGGCCUAGGCAACAGAGGCCUCGUACCUGGGAGAAAUCCGGCAGCUCGAACGUCGGCGGUUGUGCUUCAGAGUCACGUGGGAGGACCAUUGGUCUCUCCACGUACGUUUGGGUGUUUGGGCAUAUCGCCCUGGCGAGCGACGUCGCGGUGUUGUCCAAUCCGAAUGGCAGUGCCCUUCUUGGAGUGAGCAACCCAUGUGGAAUUAACCUAGCAGUGGGGGAGAGCGCGCGGGGCGCGUCACCUCUUGUCGUCGUGUGAUGCUGGGCCGGCAUGCCCACGGUUCCGGCACGCGGCGCUGCCAGCACCUGUGUCACCUCCUGCCUAGCGCGAACUGCCGGUCGUGACGGGGCGGAGGGGUGACGAUGAUGCUGUCCACGCUUCUUGGGUGGGGAGACGUGGUGUCGAGGGCGUCUCGGGGCUCUCAACCGCGCUGGCGCAACGCGGGCUCCUCCCGGACCUUUGAUCGAGAGCAAGAUCAUGUCAUAGCCGGAGCCAGUCGACAUGAACUCAAGACUCCCAAACCAAAUCACCGUGGAGCGUGGAAUCGGCGAAGCGAGGGUGGCCAUCUAGAAAGGAGUGGGAAAUCAAUGAAAAACAUGCAGGGCCCCUACCUGGCGCACCAACUGUCGGUGUUUUCCCCACGGGGGGUCACACCAACGAGUAAAUUUGUAUGCGUGCUCCCGUUUCCAAAUGGUAAUGCAAGAAGACACAAAGAUUUAUCCUGGUUCGGGCAAGAGAAGGCCCUACGUCCAGCGGGGGAGGGAAGUUUGUAUUAUCUUGCACCUAAGUGCUUGUACAGGGGCGAAUACAAGUGCGUAUGAGCUGGGAUGGAGUAUGGAGACUCCUCUACGUGUGUGUUGUGUUGCGUGAUGUGUGUUCAUUCCCGGGUCUCCCCUUUUAUAGCUCCAAGGAGAGACCUAGGGUACAUGUAUGGGUGACAGAGUAGGGGUCGAUAGAGGCAUGGCGCGCUGACCUACUCGAGGCCUCCGUACCGACGUGGUCUCGAGCCGUCCCGUCCUGGUAGCUUGAUGAUGAUUACGCGUGCCCUCAUAUCCCGCUCUGUACGCCGUCUUGGGCCAGUUUGUCCGUUGCACAGUUGUACGUCAUGGCUGCUGAUACGUCAGAGUGGUGGCAGCGCCGUUAGUCGAUGCCCAGCCCUUCCCCAGGAAGGAAACACGUCCGGUCGAGGGUCGGACGCCAUGUAGCACCUUGCUAUCCAGAGCAUUGACUUUCGGCGUCUCGAGGGCGUCCUGACUAGACGUUCCCCAUCAUGCUUCCUGUGACUAGCGUGUUAGGUGGGAAAGCGACAAGCGCAUUAAAUGCCCGGGUUCUCGUGCGCACGUCAGGUGGCGGGCGGUGUCCUUGCGCUCGAUGCCUCCUGGUUCGCUCGAGCCCAUUUCCUUAUUCGACGGUAAUUGAUGCUCGACCCCUGAGCGGUUCGCUCGACGCCUUUUCCGUCUUCGAGGCUGCGGUCGUCGAUGACCGUAUGGCUGAUUAGAACGUCGAGUUGAGGGCCUCGAUCUGUGUAUAAGUAAUCUCGUUAUGUGCAUCAGUUAGUAUACCCCUUACCGAUACCCUCGACACCAUUCUAUACUUACAUAGCCUUUGCAAGAUACAUUUACUGUUUCAACCAAAAUUUCAUCAACACUCCGUUACAUUUGUACUUAUAAAACUUUUGUUGUUGCAUCAGUAAACGGGCAAAUCGGCAAAGACCAGAAGUACCAAGACAAGUGCCGAUGCCCCCCAGUCUAGCCAAGUCAAGAGAAAAGGCCCCAAAAGCACCAAGUCACAAGCAAAACGCCAGAAGACAGCAUCACCUCCUCCUCCUCAUCCAGGGUCACCGAUUCAUGUGGAAUCGUCCCCUUCUUCACCAGAAGUUCAGACACAGCAAGCACCGUCUCCACCUCAGCCACAAGAAGUACCUCAGCUAGAAGAAACAUCAGCCGAUGUGCUUGACCAAAUUGCUGAUCCAGUGAGCCCAAUCAUGCCAUCGGUGGUUCCCUCAGAACAGACAAGCACUGUACCCCCUCAAGGUAAAGUACCACUCACAAGAUCACCACCGAUGGACCUACUCCUUCAAACUAUAAGCAAUUUUACUAUCUUUUCAGUUGAUAUUGUCCCAUCGGCAACUCCAGCCGAUCAACCCGUGGUGCCAUUGGCAUCAACUAGCCAAAGACGAGAAAUAGCUCUGAAACCAGUAAGUUAUUUGAUUCCCAUCCUUUAUAUCACUAAUAUUUGGUCAUCAAAUAACCUAUCUCCUUUUCCUUUCCAGGAACAAGAUUCUCCCGACAGCCUGUUCUCCUUCGCCAUCGAAAUUUCUGAUGAUGAAGGCGAGGAAGCAAGCUCUUCUCAAGCAAUCAGGAUUUCAUCGGCAGAAAUCAGAGCAAAGCUGGAAGAUCUGCUGGCCCUGCUUCAUCAGGACACGGCUCAAUUAGGCGAUGACUCUGACCCAACCAAAGCUCUGUUCAAAGCUCUCAGGGGUCAAAUUCCUGCCGGUGCCGAAGAGAUCCUUUUCCAGGCUGCACACUUGGAGAGCCGCCAGCUCCAAUAACAAAAGGCUACCCAACGCCUUGCUAAUAGAGCCACCCAUGCCCAACUCUCAGAGGAAGUAAUGCAAGUGAAACGCCUUGCCGAUGAGAAGCACAAGAGCAUCGGCGUCCUACAGUCCUCAGGGGAGACGCUAAGGCAGAAAAUCUCCGAUCUGUCGGCAAAAAGGGAAGCCCUGCUGGCAGAGCUCAAGCAAGUAGAAGAAGCUCUUUCUCAAGCUCAGCAAGAAGAAAGUCAGCUACCCGAAAUGAUCAAGACCCUCUAGCAAGAACGAAACAUUCAAGCCCGCAAAGCACUGCAGAUGAAGAAGAAGUUGAAGCCAGUGGAGGGCUCUGCCGAUGAGGACAUCAGGGAGGUAGAAGAAGCCGAUCAAAUCUGUUUGUGCGCCAUAUCGGCUAUCCAAACCUUGCUGAGUAUAUGAGCUCCCCAUCGGCGGCAUGUCUUGUUCUACCUUUUAGAAACUGCUAACUAUUUUGGUCUAGUCGAUAGGAUUGUUAUCGGCAUCUUUUAAAACAUCAUACUCAGUCCUAGAUACAUCUUAAUCCAGCUGAUAGGGGUGUUAUCGGCACUUAAACUUUCAUGCAUCGACCCAUAUGCUUGGGUAAUACUUCUUUAAAUAUUUUCCAUUCAAUGCUCUGGGAAAUUCAACUCCUUCGAGAGUUUCCAAAAUAUAAGCAUUACCAGGAGCAGACCGAUUUAUCCGAUAAGGACCUUCCCAAUUAGGAGACCACUUCCCAAAUUUUGAACUUUUAGUCCCAAUCGGUAAGAUCAGUUUCCACAGCAAAUCUCCAUCGGCAAACUCCUUAGCUUUCACCUUUUUAUCAUACCACCUAGCAACUCUCUUUUUAUUUUCUUCUAUACUCAUCAAAGCCCUCAGCCGAAGCCAGCUAAAUCAUCUAACUCAUCUUUCAUCAAGGUAGCAUAGUCAUCGGCAGCUAACUGAUCUUGAAAAGAUAGUCGCCUAGAUCCGGUCUUAAUUUCCCAUGGUAGCACCGCAUCGUGUCCAUACACCAACUGAUAAGGUGAAACUUUAGUCGACCCAUGACAUGCCAUCCGAUAUGACCAUAAAGCUUCUCCCAACAAUGUAUGCCACCUCCUAGGAUUUUCCUCAAUCUUUCAUUUGAUGAGUUUAAUAAUUCCUUUGUUAGACGCCUCGGUCUGCCCAUUUGCUUGAGCAUAAUAAGGGGAAGAAUUCAACACUUUAAUCCCCAUACCGAUUGCAAAUUCAUCAAACUCCCCUGAUGUAAACAUGGUACCCUGAUCUGUAGUAAUUGUUUGAGGAAUACCAAAUCGGUAAAUAAUAUGCUUUUUCACAAAAUCAAUCAUAUUGGCCGAUGUUACUUUCUUCAAGGGAAUAGCUUCAACCCACUUAGUGAAAUAAUCGGUGGCAACUAAGAUGAACUUAUGCCAUUUGCUUGAUGGUGGGUAAAUCUGGCCGAUUAGAUCAAUAGCCCACCCUCGGAACGGCCAAGGCUUAAUAAUGGGAUUCAUAGCCGAUGCGGGUGCCCUUUGAAUAUUGCCAAAACUUCUGACAUCCUUGACAUCCUUUGAAAUAUUUAAAGCAAUCCUCGAGUAUGGUCAGCCAAUAAUACCCGUUUCUCCUAAUCAUCCAUUUCAUCUUAAAAGCCGACUGAUGCGCUCCACAUACUCCGUCAUGAAUUUCACCCAUCAAACUUUUAGCCUCACCAUCACCUAAGCACUUGAGAAGAACUCCAUCUAUAGUUCGAUAAUACAGUUCAUCCCCAAGGAGCACAUACUUGGUAGCUUGAAACCUGAUACGCCUCUCAACCCUUUUAGAUGGAUCUUUUAAAUAAUCAACGAUCUCCUUUCUCCAAUCAUCGGCACCGAUUGCCGAUAACGUGUUUAAUAUGGCUUGAUAUCCCGAGGCAUGCUGAGCCAACCGAUUAGCCUCCUCAUUAUGUAAGCGAGGAACAUGCUCUAAUCGGAAAUCCUUGAAUUCCUUUAAUAGUUGCAUACUCUUUUCAUAAUAGGUUAUCAGGACCUCGCUUGGACAUUUAUAAAUUCCAGCCAACUGAUUUAUGACAAGCAUAGAAUCUCCAAAGAUUUCAACAGCAUCAGCACGAACCUCUUUUAACAAUUCCAACCCUUUGAUUAAAGCGUGGCAUUCAGCUUGAUUAUUUGUUGACGUGGUGACAAUCGGCAAAGAGAAUUCAUACUUCUUUCCCGAGGAGAAUUUAAUACUAUACCGAUUCCUACCCCCCGGUCACACGUAGAUCCAUCAAAGAAGAGCGUCCAAGGAAUAAUUUCCAAAGUCCCCACUACACCGCAACGUUGAGUCACAAAAUUGGCCAUAAUCUGUCCUUUAACUGCCUUAGCCGAUUCAUAACGUAGAUCAAAUUCCGACAACGCCAAAAUCCAUUUGCCGAUCCUACCACUCAUAAUCGGCAUAGACAGCAUGUACCGGACUACAUCAUCUUUGCAUGUAACAGUGCAUUCGGCCGACAGCAGAUAGUGCCUCAACUUAAUACAUGAAAAGUAUAGGCAUAAACAUAAUUUUUCAAUUGCCGAAUACCUGGUCUCAGCAUCAAUCAGUCUUCUACUUAAAUAAUAAAUCAUACGCUCCUUCCCUUCAAAUUCUUAAAUCAAAGCUGAACCGAUGAACAUCCCAUCGGUAGGCAAAUAUAAUUUGAAAGGCCUUCCUUGCUGAGGUGGAAUCAAAACUGGAGGAUUUGUUAAAUAAUUCUUAAUUUCAUCCAAGGCUGAUUAUUGCUCUCUUCCCCACACAAACUCUUGAUUGGCUUUUAAUUUAAGUAAAGGACUAAAAUUACAAAUUUUACCAGACAAAUUAGAUAUAAACCGUCUGAUAAAAUUUAUCUUGUCGAUCAAAGACUGGAGUUCAGUUUUGUUGGUAGGAGCAACUAUUUUAUUGAUGGCAUCAAUAGAUCUUCUACUAAUUUCAAUUCCUCUCUGAUGCACCAUGAAACCAAGAAAUUGCCCUGCCGAUACACCAAAUGCACACUUAUUAGGAUUCAUCUUUAAACCAUGUUUCCUUGUGCACUCCAACACCUUUCGCAUAUCGGCAAGAUGCUUUGUGAAAUCCCUAGACUUAACCACCACAUCAUCAAUGUAAAUUUCUACCAGCUUGCCGAUGAACUCAUGAAAAAUAAAAUUCAUAGCCCUCUGAUAAGUAGCACCAGCGUUUUUCAAGCCAAAGGUCAUGACUAUCCAUUCAAACAACCCAACAUGACCAGGACACCUAAACACGGUCUUUGGAAUAUCUUCUUCAGCCAUGAAUAUCUGAUUAUAUCCUAUAUUGCCAUCCAUAAAGCUAAUGAUCCGAUGUCCAGCCGCAGCAUCAACUGGCAAAUCGGCAACUGGCAUUGGAUAACCAUCCAUCGGCGUAGCCUUGUUAAGAUUUCUAAAAUCAAUGCAGACUCGAAGCUUACCAUUUUUCUUGUAAACUAGAACGACAUUGGAGAUCCACUCGGCAUACCGACAUUACCGAAUAAAUUUUGCUUCGAUAAGUUUAGUUAUUUCGGCCUUAAUAUCAGGAAGAAUAUUAGGAUUACAUCAGCGAGCUGGCUGCUGAUGUGGCCGAAACCCAGAUUUGAUAGGUGACCGAUGUUCAACGAUCGAUCGUUCUAAACCAGGCAUCUUAGUAUAAUCCCAAGCAAAGCAAUCUAUAUAUUCCUUUAACAAAUCGGUUAACUGUUGCUUACACUCAGAAUAUAACUUAGCACUAAUAAACGUAGGUCUUGGCUUAUCACCAUUACCUAUAUCUACUUCUACUAAAUCAUUGGCCGAUGUAAACCCCUGGCCUAAUUUUCCAUCAUCGGCGAACCUAUCCAUUAAAACUCCUCAGCAGAACCGACUGCUUGGAUCGGUGGAAUUUCGUAAUCGGCAACCUUGAGGAAAUCCUUCUCCCAAAUUUCCCCUGAGAUGCACCUGGUCCUCUCAUAAGUAUCUGCCUCCGCCGAUGCAAUGACAUACGAAGAAUCUCUUGGGACAAUUUCAAUCUUGUCACCUACCCACUGAACCAAACAUUGGUGCAUAGUAGAUGGGAUGCAAGAAUUGGCAUGAAUCCAAUCCCUCCCCAACAGUAGAUUAUAAGCACCCUUUCCACUGAUGAUGAAGAAAGUCGUGGGCAAGGUUUUGCUGCCGAUGGUCAACUCGACACAUAUGGCUCCCUUGACUGGAGACACAUUCCCCUCAAAAUCCUUUAGCAUCAUGUCGGUCUUGGUUAAGUCUUGAUCUCCUUUCCCGAUACACUGCAUAUGGCAUAAUAUUGAGAGCAGACCCACCAUCGACUAAUAUCUUGGUCAUUGGCUGUCCAUCAACCCUUCCUUUGACAAACAGAGCUUUAAGAUGCUGCCUUUCAUUGUCGGCAGGCUUUUCAAAGAUAGCUGUCAUUGGAUCCAGAGCCAACUGAGCUAACUGGUCGGAAAAAUCCACCUCCUUGUCAUCACUGGACGGCGCAAGGAACUCCAUCGGCAACAUAAAUACCAUAUUAACAUAUGCCGAUGGCCCUUUUCCUUUAGGAUCUGGCUGCUGCUGACAUUUUGACUUACCAGAAUUCUCUCCUUUACUCAACGCUUCCCAUCUUUCACGCUGCAGCCUUCUUUUCUGUGUCCUAGUCAGUCCCUCUUGACAUCAUGGAGGAAGUUGCGGCUGCCUUACCGAUUGGUGACGAUUUCCGCUCGAUUCCACUCGAUAAGUAUUAGCAUCCCUGCAAAAUAUGAACUCAUCAGGAACUCAUGCAUCCACCAUUUCCUCAAGCUCCUCUUGAUUCCUAGAAAAAUAUCCGACCUGUCGUGCACACUGAGCCUGCCCCCCAGCCGAUCAUGAACGGAGGCUCUUCCCCUAAUCGGCCCAUUAAAUCGCCGAUCAUCGUUUUGAUACUGCUGAUUAGGUCUAUCAUACCGAUCAUAACCAUUGCACUCAGGGCAGUCUCUAACAGUGGGCAGUUUGAUGUUUUGCUCCCAACAGUGGAUAAAAAACGAGCAAUUCCAGUGAUCUUUAUGCCGAUUCCACUCUUGUUUGCGUCUUUCUUCUUCCCGACGACGAUCCUUCUGUUGGCGCCGAUACCGAUCUUCAUGUUGCUGCCAGGUCUCCCGAUGUCUUCUAUGAGUUAUCACAAUGCCAAAUCGGGGAGGCCUUCCUGAACUGAUUCCUUCCUGAAUCAGACCCUUGCCUUUAGCGUCAUCGGCAGUAAUUUGAUGUUGAAGAUCCACCGAUGCGCUUCUUUCAGCUGCCUCUGACGUCAAGACCUUGGUUUUUCCCUUAGCAUCCAACAUAUUUGUUGGGAAAGGAUGUUGAUCGAUCUUCAUCGGCUUCUGAGCUUUGGAAUUAUCAAACUUAAUUCUCCCAGAUUGUAUAGCCGAUUGCAGCUGUUGCCUGAAAACCUUGCACUCAUUUGUGCUGUGAGAUGUUGCAUUGUGCCACUUGCAGUAUUUCAUCUUCUUUAAUUCUUCAGCCGAUGGAAUCACAUGAUUGGGUGACAAAUUAAUUUGCCCUUCUUGAAGUAGAAAGUCAAAUAUCCUAUCGGCUUUGGUAAUGUCCAAUGCAAACUUUUCUGGCUCAUUAUGCCCAAAAGGGUAGGACAUUGGCUUCUUGUUUUUCACCCACUCUGCUAAGCCGAUGACUGGCUCUUCGUCAGAAUCUGAGCUUGCUGCCUCAUCGACAAAUGACACCUUUUUAUUCCAUGCUCUCUUGGGUUCAAAAGGUUUAAUAUCUUGGUCAGAAAUCCUCUGCACCAAAUGACUUAGACUCUCGAACUCUUGAGAAGCAUACUUGUCUCUGAUAUGUGGCAACACUCCUUGGAAAGCCAAAUCGGCUAGCUGCUGAUCGUCCAGAACCAGACUAUAGCACUUAUUCUUGACCUCUCGCAAUCUUUGCACAAAACUCUCAACCGAUUCAUCAUUGCGUUGUUUCAGCCUGACUAAAUCGGUAAUCUUCUUCUCAUGAACUCUAGAAAAGAAGUAUUUAUGGAAUUGUUUCUCUAGAUCGGCCCAAGUGAUCACUGAAUUAGGAGGUAAUGAAAUAAACCAAGUAAAGGCCGAUCCAGACAAAGAUGAUGAGAACAAGCGAACCCUUAACUCAUCUAUAUUAGCAGCUUCUCCACACUAGAUGAUGAACCUAUUGACAUGCUCCAUAGUUGAUGUAUCAUCCUGUCCAGAAAACUUGGUUAAAUCUGGUACCUUGUACCAAUUUUGGAGUGGAAUUAAAUCAUAUGUAGGAGGAUACGGUGUCCGAUAAGAGUAAUUGUUGACUUUGGGUUUUAUUCCAAAUUGGUCUCUCAUUACUUCAGCUAUCUUAUCGGCCCAAUAAGCAUCGACAUCUUGCCGAUGAGGUGGUUGUGGAUCUGGCAUCUGCUGAUAAGCUUCUACGUGUCUCUGAGGUGCACGAUCUCCAUGGAACAUUGGAUUAACCAUCGCCUGCUGACCACCAAGUUGCUGGCCAAGAUUCAUCGGCUGGUUGAUCAACCCUUGAUUCUGAAACCUAGGUUGGACUGGUCCCUGUUGAAACCCUAUAGCUUGAUGAUUCUACUGAGACAUCUGUGGAAAGACAAACUGCCCUGUCCAUCCACUAUUAACAUUCAUCGGUGUAGGUCCUGACGAUGACUAGUAAUUGGGCAUCAUCAUUGAAUUGACAUACCCUGGCUGUGUCAUAAACCUUUGCUGCGUCGGUAUAGGAUCUGCAGAUGCAUUAGGCAUCUAGAACGUUGGUGCUUGAGAAUUCCCAGUAAAAGGUCUUGCAGUAGUAGUUGUAGAAUACAGGGAUUCUGAGUCAUCGGCAAACCUGGAGGUGCCGAUGCCAUGGGAGCCUUGCCUAUCACAUUAGCCACUUGAGAUGUUCCAGGACCUUUUGCCAUCAAUUCUGGGGGCAUACCAUAGCCCCACCAGUUGGGAGGAACAGAUCCUGACAUUGCCGAUGCCAAUAAAUCUGUAGCAAGUUUGAUUUGUCCGUCUAACGUUGAUGGAUUAGUUGUCAUCGGUGUAGAUUGUGCAUUAGUCAUCCCUAGCGUGCUUGGAGGAGAAGUAACUUCUGCGCCCGCAACGGCCGUGGUAGCCGAUGGAGCCGUGACUACCGAUGACCCUGGCUGAUGAUAGGCAGGACCAACAUAAGAUGGUGGUACUCGUCCUUCUUUGAAAGUUCUAGCCACAGCAUUGAAAACCAUAUUGGACAGUACACAAAAUCGAUUGAUCAGAGCACGGUUGACAGCACUAUCAACCAUCUCUUGCAAUUUACCAGGAUUGGCUUCAAAAGUUAUUUGCCGAGGUGCCGGCAAUGCUUCCUUUUGGAUCACCUCGCCACUCCUGUUGAUACUGAAGGAUUUCAAGCAUAGCUGCUUGUACUCCUCCAUGGCUUUUGCCAUAGCUUGCUUCUACUGAUGAGGACAUCCCAACCAAGCAUGCUCCCUCUAAUUCCACGCCAACCUCUACACCGACUACACCGGCACCAGCCCAAGCCAUUGAUGGAGCAAUUACACGUAGCCGAGCCAAGAAGCUACAACAAGAGGUGAACGCGCUACUUUGUGAGAGUUCUAUUAAUGUUAAUGAGAAUAUUAUACUACCUAAGUGUUCUACUUUGGUUGUGCUUGGGUAUACACAUGAGGAGGGAGGUGACCUGGAUCGCAAGGAUUGGAACAACACGGUGCAGAACGGACCAGUUGAAAGAAGGGCAGAUCGGACCAGUGCGGUGCAGAACGGACCAGUUGAAAGAAAAGAUCAUAACUUUCACUUUCGAGAUGCUAUGAAGGCCCAUGAGCACUUGUUGGAAAGCUCUUCGAGUCUGGUUUCCAAUGAAUCAAGUGGCGACCAGUUUGGAUACUCCAUAUUGCCUGCAGACCAGAAUUAGUACAGACUGCUCAGAAGGUCAAUAGUCUGUCGUGACAGAAUGUUGGUACAACUUGCCAAGUAAAACUGUACCAAUCUACAGCGUUUCGUGGUGCAUGGCAUAUGUUUCUGGAAAGCUCUUGGAUUCUAGUUUCACACCCAAGAAACGGUUCAUCAUUUGGACUUCCCAAUAAAAAGUUAUAGUCAGUUUAUUGGAAACUGCUCUGGAGGCCAACAGUCACGCGAAGCCACUUCGGGAAUCCAUUUCGAGGGGACCUUUCACAUUGCCUUCCCUCAGAAACUCUAUUUCGUUUUCAUACCUAUCUAGCAGGGCUGUUGCUAGUAUAAAUACCCCCUAAGACUCAUUGUAAUCCAAGACUUUGAUAAUUGAAAUACAAACCACUUUGUUCAGCUGUGUGCUAACAAAUUCAGAGAGAGAUCUCUACCCCUUUGCUCUUGUGUUUUCCUUCGUGGAGAUUACAGAAGCGGCCGCGUCAUCGGCACCCAAUCCGUGCUCCUGAUCCUCGAGUUCAGGUUGCGUAGGUUGGUUCUUUGAGAGUGUGGUUGGGCGAAUCCUUGGUUCAGGCUGCCGUAUAGAGACGGUGGUUGGCUCCUUGUGCGUGUCGUCAGGUUGCACUAGUUAUCCUCGCUGCUUGCAGCAAGUUAUCGGCUGAUCUUCAGCUAGUUAUCCUACGUCGUGAAGAUCGGGACAACGACCUCACCAUCUGGUAUUAGAGCUGAAGUUUCCACGGUAGGAUUUUUACCCUUAGCUACAUAUAUAUAUCUUGUUCGUCCUAUCCACCAAAAAGCCAUAAAAAAAGAAAAAAAUUGCAUUAGCCCUUUGUUUCAAUCUGUUUUUCUUGUGAGUUUGGUUAAGUUUCAGUCCAUUAGAGUUUUGUUUAGUUGCUGAUCAUCAUAUCCUUUGUGUGUCCUUUGUGCCUCUUUUAUAUCUACAAAUCCCUAAAGAAAAUCUGAAACCGGUAUCAUCCUUCGCGUAAACUUUGAGCCUAUCAAGUUAGAACGCUGACGGUUGUGUCUUGUUUCAAAAAAAAAAGUGUGUGUAAGUGUUAUAUCUGCUCUUGUUCUUAGUUAUAAAAAAAACAGAGUAUCAAAAAAAAGGAAAGUGAAAAAAAAAGGAGAGUUGAGGAAGAAAAGUUGUGAAGAAAGAGUAGAAAAUUCACUCUGUUUAUGUGCUCAAGUUCUGAAUUUUAUAUCAAGUCACACAAUCAGUCAUUAUCCAUCUUUGGUGCAAAAUUUUGCUUGGGUUUGAUUGCAACACUUGCAUCCUAGGCAUACUCCUUGUUUGCAUCAAAUCUGAAUUAUCUUUGCGCGUGUGUUUGAUCUAUUUACAUCACUCAUAUCUUGUGGUCAGCACUAGGCAUUGAACUUCUAGUUUGGAUUGUGGUUUAACUUUACAAUAUCAAGAAUUCAGACUGCAUUCCUUGUGAAAUAUAUCCCCACCAAGCUCCACAAAUAACCCACCGUCAUAGGAAAAUACUGAUCUUGGAUUCUCUCAACCAUCAUUCUCGGUUACCACCUCGCAUUGGCCGUUGUAAUCUGCAGGGAACUCACAUGAGCUUCGGUUGGUAAGAGAGGUGAGAUUGUGAGAUUCCACAUAUAAUUCCCUAUUCUAUAUAUAUUGUUGCUUUGCCUUCACUAAUUUUUUAUAGCAAGAUGGCUGAGCAUCCGGAGAUUGAUGAUUGUGUGACCAUGGCACAAUUCGAUGAGAUGAAACAAAGCAUGGAGACGCUAACAAACAAUGUUCAAGCACUCAUGAACCGGUUGCAAAUUCAUCCUCAUGAUAAUGCAAAUGGCAGUCACAAUGAAGAUGAAGUUGAAGAAAGUGAAGGAGAAGCUGCUCGUCGUGCAAGGGAACGGCGUAGAGAGCGAGCUGCUGCCAAUGCAAGAAGACCUCCUUUUCCACGACGUGAUCAUGGUGGUAGAGGUGCUGGUCAUGGACAUGGGAGAGAUAUUGGAUUGGAAGAAACUGAAACUGAAGAAGAGGAUGAACAGCCCCAUUAUGAUGAUCGUCGUCACCGAAGAAAUCGUAGGCGUAAUCAGCACAAUGAAGAGAGGUUUGGCAAGUUAAAAUUCACCAUGCCCCAGUUUGAAGGAGGAUUGAUCCUGAAGCAUAUCUUACAUGGGAGUUGAAGGUGGAUAAAAUUUUUCGUGUGCAUAAUUAUUCUGAGAGAAAGAAGGUUGCCAUGGCUGCUCUUGAGUUCGAUGGGUAUGCCCUAAUCUGGUGGGAGCAAAUGUUGAAUGAAAGAGAAGAAGCUGGUCAAGGUGAUGUUCGUUCAUGGGCUGAAAUGAAGAGAGAAUUGAGAGCAAGAUUUGUCCCCAAACAUUAUCGCCGUGAUUUAUUUGACAAGCUACAGAAUCUGAAGCAAGGAAGCCUCUGUGUUGAUGAGUAUUAUAAAGAGAUGGAGAAGGCGAUGAUUAGAGCCAAUGUAAUUGAAGAUGAAGAGCAAGCAAUUGCAAGAUUUAUGUCAGGGCUGCAUCGGAAUAUUCAGCGCAUUGUUGAAUUUCAGCAAUAUCGUAAUCUUGUUGAAUUGGUGCAUCAAGCUAGCAAAGCUGAGCGGCAAUUGCAGCAGGAUAUGAAGUCCACUAGAGGAGUAUCUUUCAGCACAAAGAGUGCAGCAAGUGGAAGUAAAUUUGCACCUAAAGGAAGUGGAAGUAAAGGUACAUUUUCCAGCUCAAAUGGUGGUGCACGAUCUAGCAACCUUGGUUCUUCUAGUAGCAAAGAGUUGGCUGCUCAUAAUGAGAAAUUCAAAUCAGCAAACUCAGUGGGUUCUUCCAGCAAGAGUAGUGGAAUUCAGUGCUUCAAGUGUGGUGGUCCUGGUCAUGUUGCAAGAGAGUGUCCAAACGCUAGAACCAUCAUUAUGAAUGAUCAAGGGGAGUAUGAAUCUGCUAGUGAGGAAGAACAAAAAGAUAGUGGAAGUGAGAGUAAUCUUGAGAAGGACAUCUGUGAAUUUGAAUCUGGUGCUGCUCUUGUUGUAACUAAGAUUUUGAGUGUACAAAUGAGCGAUGCUGAAAAUGGACAGCGGCACAAUGUUUUUCAGACUAGAGCUAAAGUGCAAGAUAAGGUUGUCAAAGUAAUCAUUGAUGGUGGCAGUUGCCACAAUCUUGCAAGCAAAGAAAUGGUUGAAAAGCUUGGGUUGAAGCUGCUGAAACAUCCCCAUCCAUAUCAUGUGCAAUGGCUUAAUAAUUCAGGUUCUAUUAAGAUUGCACAAAGAGUGAAAGUUCCAUUCAAGAUUGUUGAAUAUAUUGACACUGUAGAGUGUGAUGUGGCGCCUAUGACAGUGUGCCACAUGCUGUUGGGAAGACCAUGGCAAUAUGAUCGAUCGUCUCUACAUUGUGGUAGAACAAAUCAAUACACCAUCAAGUGGAAGAACAAGGAGUUGAUUCUUAAACCCAUGACACCGCAGCAAAUCCUAGCUGAGCACUUGCAAAAGAGCUCCGAAGUGAGGAAUGAGAGUGCAAAAGAAGGAGAGAAAAAUAAUUUGAGUGCCCUCCACAAAUCAGUGAGUGAGAACCACAAGCCAAACAUGAGAGAUGGCAGAAAAAGAGAGGGAGAGAACUUUGUGAUGAUAGCCACCAAAUCUGAAAUGAGAGAUGUGAGGAAAAACCCAGAGCAAGUACUAUUUGUACUUGUGUGCAAGGACACAUUGGUUUCAGCUAAUGACUUAACAUCUGUCCCUAGUGUUGUUGCACAUGUUUUGCAGGACUAUGACGAAGUUUUUCCAAAGGAAACACCUGCUGGACUUCCUCCUUUGCGCGGUAUUGAACAUCAAAUUGAUCUCAUCCCUGGAGCUGCACUUCCAAACCGUCCGGCGUACCGCACCAAUCCGGAAGAAACCAAGGAGAUUCAAAGGCAAGUACAAGAACUUUUAGAUAAAGGAUAUGUGCGAGAAAGUUUAAGUCCUUGUGCUGUUCCUGUGAUUUUGGUGCCAAAGAAAGAUGGUUCUUGGAGGAUGUGUGUAGAUUGUAGAGCCAUAAACAACAUCACCGUUCGUUAUCGUCAUCCUAUUCCUAGGCUAGAUGAUAUGCUUGAUGAAUUGAGUAGUUCUAUGAUGUUUUCUAAAAUUGAUUUGAGAAGUGGUUACCAUCAAAUUAGAAUGAAGAUUGGAGAUGAAUGGAAAACUGCUUUUAAAACAAAGUUUGGGCUGUAUGAAUGGUUAGUUAUGCCUUUUGGUUUGACCAAUGCCCCUAGUACGUUCAUGAGAUUGAUGAACCAUGUCUUGCGAGCCUUCAUCGGAAAGUUUGUUGUUGUUUACUUUGAUGAUAUUCUAAUUUACAGCAAGACAUUGGAGGAACAUGUUGAUCAUAUUAAGCAAGUUUUGGAUGUGCUAAGAAAAGAAAAAUUAUUUGCUAACCUUGAGAAGUGCACAUUUUGUACAGAUCAGGUUGUGUUUCUUGGUUUUGUUGUUUCAAGUUCAGGAAUUCAGGUUGAUGAAUCAAAGGUGAAAGCAAUCAAGGAUUCGCCAACUCCUAAAAAUGUGAGUCAGGUGAGAAGUUUUCAUGGACUUGCUGGUUUUUACAGGAGAUUUGUGAGAGAUUUCGGCACCAUAGCUGCUCCGUUGAAUGAGUUAACAAAGAAAGGUGUUGCCUUCCAAUGGGGUGAACCACAAGAGAGAGCAUUCCAAGAAUUGAAGAAGAGGCUAUCCGAAGCCCCCUUGCUGGUAAAGAAGAACCUGAAGGAGUGGGAAGAGUGCUUGCCACAUGUGGAAUUCGCUUACAACAGGGCGGUACAUUUUACAACUAAUAUGUUUCCUUUUGAAGUUGUGUAUGGAUUCAAACCCCUUGCUCCGAUCGAUUUGUUGCCUCUACCAUUGCAGGAAAGGAUUAACAUGGAAGCAUCCAAGCGUGCAUCAUAUGUCAAGAAGAUUCAUGAGAAGACCAAAGAAGCAAUCGAAAGAAGGUCCAAGUACUAUGCUGAUUGGGCAAACAAACAUCGCAAGAAGGUGAUAUUUGAGCCCGGAGAUUUAGUAUGGGUACAUCUUCGCAAAGACCGCUUUCCUAAGAAGCGUAAAUCCAAGUUGAUGCCACGGGGAGAUGGUCCAUUCAGAGUGCUGUCUAGGAUCAAUGAUAAUGCCUACAAGAUUGAGCUUCCUGAAGAUUAUGGUGUUAGCACAACCUUCAAUGUUGCUGACUUGACACCAUUCUUCGGAUUAGAAGAAUCAGAGUCGAGGACGACACCUUUUCAAGAGGGGGAGGAUGAUGAGGACAUCCCAACCCAGCAUGCUCCCUCUAAUUCCAUGCCAACCUCUACACCGACUACACCGGCACCAGCCCAAGCCAUUGAUGGAGCAAUUACACGUAGCCGAGCCAAGAAGCUACAACAAGAGGUGAACGCGCUACUUUGUGAGAGUUCUAUUAAUGUUAAUGAGAAUAUUAUACUACCUAAGUGUUCUACUUUGGUUGUGCUUAGGUAUACACAUGAGGAGGGAGGUGACCUGGAUCGCAAGGAUUGGAACAACACGGUGCAGAACGGACCAGUUGAAAGAAGGGCAGAUCGGACCAGUGCGGUGCAGAACGGACCAGUUGAAAGAAAAGAUCAUAACUUUCAUUUUCGAGAUGCUAUGAAGGCCCAUGAGCACUUGUUGGAAAGCUCUUCGAGUCUGGUUUCCAAUGAAUCAAGUGGCGACCAGUUUGGAUACUCCAUAUUGCCUGCAGACCAGAAUUAGUACAGACUGCUCAGAAGGUCAACAGUCUGUCGUGACAGAAUGUUGGUACAACUUGCCAAGUAAAACUGUACCAAUCUACAGCGUUUCGUGGUGCAUGGCAUAUGUUGCUUGAAAGCUCUUGGAGUCUAGUUUCACACCCAAGAAACGGUUCAUCAUUUGGACUUCCUAAUAAAAAGUUAUGGUCAGUUUAUUGGAAACUGCUCUGGAGGCCAACGGUCACGCGAAGCCACUUCGGGAAUCCAUUUCGAGGGGACCUUUCACAUUGCCUUCCCUCAGAAACUCUAUUUCGUUUUCAUACCUAUCUAGCAGGUCUGUUGCUAGUAUAAAUACCCCCUAAGACUCAUUGUAAUCCAAGACUUUGAUAAUUGAAAUACAAACCACUUUGUUCAGCUGUGUGCUAACAAAUUCAGAGAGAGAUCUCUACCCCUUUGCUCUUGUGUUUUCCUUCGUGGAGAUUACAGAAGCGGCCGCGUCAUCGGCACCCAAUCCGUGCUCCUGAUCCUCGAGUUCAGGUUGCGUAGGAUGGUUCUUUGAGAGUGUGGUUGGGCGAAUCCUUGGUUCAGGCUGCCGUAUAGAGACGGUGGUUGGCUCCUUGUGCGGGUCGUCAGGUUGCACUAGUUAUCCUCGCUGCUUGCAGCAAGUUAUCGGCUGAUCUUCAGCUAGUUAUCCUACGUCGUGAAGAUCGGGACAAUGACCUCACCAUCUGCUCAUCUCUGAGAUUGGCUUCCGUCACGGGGAUAACAUUCUCCAAGUCGAAAUCGGUGUUCGACAUGUUGAUCUUGAUCUUGAAUCUCUGUCCACUAGGCGUGCCAAAAGAUGUGUUGGUGCAAAAGCUGAUCUGCAAACACAAAGGGCUAAUACCCGAUUCAAACGUUAAGGUGUGCCAACCGAUUUGACAUUACAAUUGACAAAGGUGGCAACUCGAACACUUUGGUCCUGAGAACAGCGAUGCGCCCGGAUGUCGCGGCCAAGAGGUGCUCACGCGGAACUUGAGAACACGCCGAGUUUGACUCGACGAAUUCCUAAGAACUCGUAGUAAAAAGAAAAGUAUGACGAAGUCGUCGAAAAGUAGAUGCUAGAAUAUGUGUAAAAACUUAUGUUUGAUUGAUUGAUAGAUGUCUCAUUACAUUACCACGGGGUCUAUAUUUAUACCCUAUUCAAAAGAACUACAACCAGACACGACUAGAACUCGAAUCCCAAAUCAAACAAAAUCCAUAUACAAAACGAAUUCUAAUAACUAAGGAAAUCAUUAAACUAUCCUCUGCAACCGAUGGGUACACCGCCACGAGUCAAUCGGCAACCCUUGCGCUUUUCUUCAUAAGCAUCGGCAGACCGCCUGUUACAUCCAUCGGCAACCAUCAGCACUAGUCAUCGGCACGAACGCAUCACCACUCCUGGACUUGGUCAUAUUCGGUUGUUUUCCCAUCGGCACCAACCUUCAUCGGCAACUCCCCUGUAGACUAGUCACCAUUGCCCCACCUACCGAUCUACACUUCAUUAACUCCAGGUGCAUAUCCAAAGAUACGUGUCCAAAAACGGUGUCAACAGAAGGCUAGACACCAGGACAGUGGAGCGUGCUGGCGAGCAUGGUGAGGCUGUAGUUGGAGCUGCUUCCGUAGCCAAGCCGACAGGGGGCUCGAAGAGCACAGCGCAAUCGGCCGGCCGGUGGAGCUUAAGACCAAAGCCUCACCAAGGCUCAUCUCAUCCAACCGAGAGUUACAACCCAACCCCGGAGAAACAACUAUCUCCAGUUGAGGGCUCAUUUCUAGCCCAAGGGGAGCCACGUCGUUUGAGCCUACAAUAGGAUCCUCCUAAUCAGAACAUAAAGGCCCAACAGCCCUCGAGGAAAUCUGGAGCCACUCAUGAAUUAUGGGACAACCUCGGCAUCUAAAACGGCUGCAAUUGCUGCCGCCUCAUCGGGCACGGGGUCGUCCACGGGACCACGCGGCAUCGCAACCAGGAUUAGGUUAACGUUGCCUGGGAGGACCCGCCCUAGCUCAUCCAUGUUGGACUCCAUGGCAGCAGACAGACGGCUCUUGCAGAUCUGACUAAAAUUGACCCCAGAUGACCUGAUCAAAUGUCGCAACCCAACCAGACGCUCAACCAUGGCCAGUUCAGGGAGAACCAGCAGGUAGCUUGAGGAAGAGGCCUGACGAAGCAUUAAGGAGCUGGCAACAACCUCAAUUCUGGACACAAUCGCCGCUGCUACCUCCUCCACUGAGGCUAGAGGACCAUCACCGAUCACAGAUACCACCACAGCAUGUAGCAGGUCCUCCACGGCCCUUGCCACCUGAUCGGACCAAACAAUUAUGCACGGAGGAGGCCUAAGGUCUUCACUAGACAUCCCCGAAGAGGUCGUGCCUGGCAACAGACCAGCAGCCAAGGUAGAGCUGGCCUCCUCCACUAGACACCACUGCGAUCGAGGCGGGUGUCGACAACAAUGUGGCAGCCUAGCCCCCGCACCAUGAUCCUGACCGUGCACCUCCGUAAGGCCCUAUGAUGUGCCGACGCCACUAGAAACACCCAUCGGAGAAGGCCGUCGCGGGGGGCAGCACUAGCAGAAUCGGUGGCCGGAGACAUCAGUUGCCACACGGAGACACAAGUAGGAGCACGUCGAGGCAUGCCGCCAGCCGCACCCGCAGGAGGAGACCAUUGUAGGGCGGCAGUGCAUGAAGCGUCAUUGAUCGAAGAAACUUGCCACCACAUCAAGGCACGGGCAGGAGUAGGACGAAGGAGAGCAUUCGCCAUAGGGCACAUGUAGGAACGAUGGCCCUACGGAUGGUAGCAAAAACAAUGGGUCUUCUGGUGGUAGAGAGCAGCAGUGUGCGAAGGUGAGAGACAGUUAAAACAUCUGUCGACGAGGUCCGCUAGGAUUGAGCGGAGUGGAGGACGAGCCGUGCGUCUCUGCCGUCAUCGAGCGCCAUGAGAAAGCAUCUUUUGCCACCCCUCUGUGCCAGGACGCACCGCGCUAGAAGAGGGAACAACACCCCCUCACCCGGGCAGGUCUCACCGAAGGAGCACAAUCCUAGCAGCCUAGGAGGUCACCGGUGGAGGAGCCAUGGUCGUAGCAGGAGCCACCGAGUGAGAAUUACCACCCACCACUGGAGAUGCCGCACACGAUGCGAGCAAAGAAGCCACAACGUCAUUGAAGGAAGGCUGGGAGCUGCCAGAACUGGAGGAGCUCAGGGACUCGACACACCGCCGCUCCUACUUGUAGCACCCGCACGAGAUGAACGACAUCAUUUGGGAGGGAGCAGGGGAGGGGGAAACCACUGCCUUGGGAGGAGAAGGAGGCGCCAGUGCCAUUUGGGUGGCUAAUGGGUUCAGAGUGAACUUCAUGCUAGGCUUAGCCUAGUGUUAGCCUAGUUACCAUUUACUUUACUGUAAUUAUGUUUUGCUUUACCUAAUAGGUUCCUUGGCAGCUAAGCUGAACAUGGUGCCUUGUGAACCAAGUUGCUGUAGAGAGUUUUGCUUUAGGUGGUUAGAAUCUAUCAGAGACAUAUUGGGGUGUUGUCUGCUCUCUAGUCUAUAUAUGCAGCAGCCCCUCUCCCUUGUAUCCGUGAGUUCUCAUUGCAUUUCAAUACAAUCCAAGCGGCCUCUGGCCAAGCUGCCCUCAGGCAAUUCAGUUCCUGAUUUGCAAUUAGUUCACGCCAACAAUUGGUAUCUAGAGCCAAGGAUAGAGAGCCUAGGGGCCAUGUCUACCUCAAGCCAGAGAGCUAGAGCAGUAGUUGCUGCAGCUGCCGCCGACGUCGCCGCGGGCGCCUACCUAGAGGCUGGUGCCGUGGUGAACCUAGGGGCUGAUUGCGCUAGGCGUUUGGCAGCGGCAGAGGCCGCAGCCACGUAGGCAGUGCAGGCGGCACGACAGGUUGCAGUAGUAGCUCAGAAGGCGGCCACCAUGGCCGUGGCUCUCCACACGGAGAUGGACCGGGAGCCAUGCACGCUUGGGCGGAGGAGCCCUGAUCCGCUGUCGGAACCCGUCGCGGAGUCCAGAGAGGCAUCGCCGGGCUCAAUCCCCAUCGCCUGCUCACCGUUGUGGAUGUGGAUGCCGUCGUGGAUCUCUAGUGGUCCAGACGGUGUACAAGGAUGCAGGCGCGGUGGCUCCAUAGCCGAUGCUGACGAAGUCGAACUAUCAUGAGUAGAGCAUGCUCAUGCGGCUCAAGAUGCAGGCUUGCCACCUCUGGGCUGCCAUCGAGUAUGGCGAUCUCUUAUACCACGACGAUCGGCGCGCGCUGGAGGCCAUCAUCAUGGGAGUUCCACAGGAGAUGCAGGUGUCGCUCGCCGACAAGCUCUCCGCCAAGGAGGCAUGGAACUCCAUCGCCGCAGCACGCAUCAGCGUCGACCGCAUCUGCCGCGCCAUGCUGCAGCGGCUGUGCAAGGAGUGGGAAAACCUCUCCUUUCAUCCAGAGGAAUAGAUCGAGGACAUCACCCUCCGCCUCGCCACGCUAAAGCAGCAGAUGAUCCUCCAUGGUGAGAGGAACCUCGACAAGGAGCGAGCGGUGGAAAAGCUUAUUCGAGCCACGCCCAAGAAGUACACCCAGCUCAAGAUUGCCAUCGAGAUGCUACUCGACUUCCUGGACCUCACCAUCGAGGAGGUCAUCGGGAGGUUGAAGACGGUGGAUGACCUUGACAACGAUCUUGCGCACGAGCCCGUGUCCGUCGGCAGCAAGCUCAGGCUCACGGAGGAGCAGUGGCUGGCACGCCAGAAGUAGAAGAAGGACGCGGGUGGCGUAGGCAGCUCUGCUUCCUCCAGUGGUGAAGCACGUCGUCGGCCGCAUGGCGAGAAGAAGCAAAAGGGGGAAAUGCCAAGGGAGGAGAACGUGACAGCGGUAGGAAAGGAGCAAAGGCAGGAGGCACCGUCAGUGACCAUAAGGCUAACCGCGACGACCGCUACCUGAACUGUCGUUGCCCCAGCCACUGGGCAAAGGACUGCCCCAAGCCUCGACGUGAGUGUGGCGGAGCAGCGCAUGUUGCGUAGGCCGAUGAUGGUGAAGCAGCUCUCUUCCUCGCCCACGGCUUCCUCAAGCUGCACAGGGACCGCGAUGGCUUCUGCUCCAAGGCCAACAUCGACAUCAACGAGCCCAGAGCAUGUACGUUCCUCAACAUCAGCGGUGAAGACAUGCUCAACGGCUAGUACCUCGACAGCAGCGCCACCCACCACAUGACUAGAUGUCGCGAGCUAUUCUCUGACCUUGACACUUCAGUGCGUGGCUCGGUGCGGUGAAAGGUCCAAAUGGCUAGAGGGGGGUGAAUAGCCUAUUUAAAAUUCUCUACAAUCUCAACUAGACAAGUUGAUUAGUAAAACAAAUGGCGAGGCAAUUCUGGCACUAGCUCAACUAUGCUAUGCAAGCCACCUAUACAAUCUGGUACAAGGCUAAACACUAAACCACAACAACAAGAGAAGGCUAGCUACAAUCCUAAACAAGAAAACUAUACUAAACAAGCUAAACAACUAGCAAGGUAAACAAGUGUGUAAAGGAGUGGAGAGUGAUUGUUAUACCAACGUUGUAGAGUAGAGAUAUGUCCACCCAAUCACUCGAAAUCACAAUCACAAUAGAUAAUCCUCGGCAAAAGAUGACACAAGAUUUUUUACCGAGGUUCACUUGCUUCUCGGCAAGCUAGUCCUCCUUGUGGCGAUACACUCACUUGAUGGAUCACAAGCUAAUUUGCAAUCCAAAGCCAAACCCUCAGCGGGUGCCGCAUAUCCACUCACAAAUGGGGAUCCUCCAAGCCACAAGCAAUCCACUAGAGUUGCCAAUUGUGAUCUCCCGAGGGGAAGACUCGAGAACCCCUCACAAAUCACUUGGUGAGGCUCAAAACAAUCUCCAAUCACGAGCUCAACACCACCGCUGCUCCAAUCCGUCUAGGGCGUUGGGAAACACCCAAGGGUAACAAGAAAUCCGCAGCAAACUCAAGGAUCAAGUGCUACUAGAUGCAACUCUCAAAGCAAUGCACUUGAAUCUCACUCAAUCUCACUAGAAUUAGCAAUCAAGCAAGGAGAUGAGUGGAGGAAGUGUUCUCUUGCUCAAUGUAUGUCUCAAGUAAUCAAAUGUGCAAGAGAGAAUCCCCCAAAGCUGGCCACCAACUAUUUAUAAGCCCCCCAAAGAAAUAGUCGUUGGCCACUUUAAAUGGGCUGCAGUCGUGCACACCGGACGCAUCCUAGUUCACACCGGACGUGUCUGGUAUGAAUCUAGACAGUGUCCGGUGCUCUCGACCAUUUGAAAACUAACUGUUGCUGCUAAAAGAGACACGGCACCGGACUCUCAACUUAGAAUGCACCGGACGGUCUCGGGUGGGACCAGACGAAAACUCAGAGAGCUUCGCAAAGUGACACAGCACCGGACUCUCAACUCAGACGCGUUUGGUGUCACACCGGACGUGUCCGGUGUACACCGGACUAAAACACAGAGAGCCCUCAAACAAAACUUCACACGAGACGCUAACUCGGACAUGUCCGGUGUCACAUCGGACACGUCCGGUGUAGCUCCGGACGCAAACUCAGGAACUCUUCUGUGUUAGCGUCGUCACUGGACUCUCUACACCAGACUCAAAGGGGUUACUGCUCCUGAGUCCGGUUCCUCACAAAACCUCCAAAGGUAGAUUUUGAAGCUGAACUUCAUUCUAUCCUUGUUCAACUCAUUCCCUUGCUUCCAUGUGCCAACACUAAAGUGUCACAACACUUAUGCAUGUGUGUUAGCUUUUCGCAAAACAUUUUAUCAAGGAUUCAAGUUAGCAUUUUACUAGAUCCUAAUGCAUAUGCUCAAGAUAUGGACCUAGUAGCACUUGAUUCGAGAGAUGACCAUGAUUUCCCCUCUUGAUAGUCGGCUAUCUAUCCUAAACCCGGUCAAUCACUUCUCUACUCAACUUGGACCGGCAAAAGCAAAACCCUAUGUUUAUACCUUUGCCUUGAUCACUUUACUCCUUGUCUAUCAUCAUGAUUUCCACUUCAUACUUCAUCUCUUUGUAAUCACGUGGCCACCUAUCCUUGCCACCAUGUGCCUUCAUCACAUAUGUUGCUAUGCCCAACUCAAAUUACUUAACACAAGGCAUUAGCAACUUGGUGUCAUUAAUUACCAAAACCAAACUUGGGCUUUCAAUCUCCCCCUUUUUGGUAAUUGAUGACAACCAUCACAAAGAUAUGAAAUGAAAUCACAAUGAACUUUAAUUGCUUGUCCAAAGCAUUUUUAAUCAUGAGACAAGGUUGGACAAACAUUUCAAUUUCAGCUUUGGUAGUACUAGCUCCCCCUACAUAUGUGCUUCCAUGAGUUUGGUUCAAGUUUGCACAUAUGCAUGAAUCGGAAAGUUUGGGAGAUUUAUUACUACCAAAAUGAUGCUAAGGUAUAUAGAAUGGACCUUUGAAGCGUGAUACCAAUCUGAGUUGCUAAUAUACCAUCCUUAGCACCAAUGUAGCUAGACAUACAUCAAAAACUCAAGAUACCUCGUGAGAUCACAUUAUAUGCCUAGAUACCACAUGAAAGUAAAACUCUAUGCUAGAAUUCAAAGCAUCAUUCAAGUUCUAUUUCUAGCAAGAAACAAUCAAAUAAGAAUAGUAAAUUAAACUUGCAAUGCAACAUCUCAUUAUGUUAGUGCACAUACUGUUGAUAUUUGGUAACGCAAUUAGAAAAUGAUCCGCAAGCGCAUGAAUAUCGGUGAGCAUUUCACCCGGGAGGUUAUCCAGAGUUAUCGUAUUUAUAUUUUUACCACUGGGAGAAAGGGUGCAUCUGACUAACCAAAUCUAUUGCUACUAUCCCUUUAGGCACAAAGAAUGUCUUUCGAUGUGAGUGAUAAAUAGAGAAGACUGCAACCGUAGUCUCCUUCUAACCUUGGUAAGGGUGAUCUAUUGUUCUAUUGGGGAGGCUCACGAAAUCUAGACAACACAAAGGAUGUUCGACCCGCACCUAUAAACCCUAUCCUUCCUGCUAACGAGAUGUCAUCUACAAAGGUAGCUCGGAAUUGUCACGUUCCUCACUACUACCACGGUCCAGCUAGUCAGGGAAUAUCUAUGAGUACCCCAGCCUAAACACCACGUUUAUGCCAGCAAUGAUUACUCUAAACUCUACGCGAAGAGAUUAAAGUAAACUCAUAAACCAUAAGAACAAUAAAACAAGAACUUACUAGAAUUUAGAAGUCGAAUUACUGAAGAAUCCUAGGAGCAAGCUUCGGGUUAGGAGAACUUGAUCCCGCAGGUACAAGCUUGGAGUAGACACCGACAGGCCGGGCUUCCUCCAAUCUACACCUCCACUCUAUCUCUCUCAAUCUAGUAGAAACUAGAACAUCUAUUUCUACCUUACAUUGGUUGCUAAACCUAAAAAGAAAUAUUAAUUAGAGGAGAGGUUUUCCUUCGAGGGCACCCCUCAAUCUCUAUGAUAAUUUCUUCAUGUCUUCUCCAGGGGCAGGGGGGUCUCCUUAUAUAGUCCUCCCCUUGUAUGCGUUUUUGGGUCGAUAGACGAGGUGGUACUAUGUUUUUCUUGAUCCAAUAGGUCGGUGGAACAUCCCGAGCGAAGAGAGUCCUGAAAGCAAUCCAGCAGGGGGCGGGCGCCCAGGUCCUCAGGGCGGGCGCCCUGGGCCUGGCCCCGUUUCGCCUCCGCUUCGGUCUCGUGGCUUCUGGAGUCUUCUAGAUGGUGUAAAAUCGUACGGUGCGUUGAUAUCUCUAUGUAAUCCCGACAUGUGGGCCUUUCUUCCUUAUUUCCUGAUAACCCCCUGCAGAAAUAGACAAACACCAAAACUCAUGGAAUUCUGUCAGAUAAAACCCUAAGUCUAGAUGUUGAUUUCAUUUGGAUCCUUUUCUUUGUUUAUUUGAUAAUUAAAUUUGAUACUUAAGGACCGUCAACAAGCUCCCCCAAGCUUACCUCUUGCUCAUCCCUGAGCAAGGAUAGACUCAGCAAUGGAUUAGAAGUUGUUGCAAUAUCUUUUAAAAAUUGACGGUACACAUGCUUUUAAUUAAGAUCUCAUCUCUGAGUUAGAGUAAACUGUCAAGAACUAAAACUUACUUACUUUACCUUUCACCAUGGGACUUGUAACCGUCACUUCUGUCUUAAGAGGUUAAAAGAUAGAACAGUCUAGCCAAGUGUCAUGUCUCUUAUUCUUGAUCAGCUAUAGCUCUGGGGUUUUUGCAGAUUUUCAAAUAAAACUCAGAGAUUCCUUGUAUGACUCUCUCAUAUCUCUCUUUUGUGGUAUUUCUGGAUCCUUACCAAGGCAUUGAUGGUAUAUGCCUUCUCUCAAGAUAUGUGGUAUUUGUGGUAUAAGGCAUUGCCUUCACUCUCACCCUACUCUAAUAAGGCUUGAUAUCUGGAGCUCAUAGGUGGGAGACAGCUAAUACAUACUUACAAGACAUUUAUUGCAUAGUCAAACCAUGGAUCCAGAGAAACAAAUCAAUAAGCCAAAUGAAGAUGUGCAUGUGUGGCGAAUGAAUGGUGUAUGGUGAUGAUGGUAAUAACAAUGGUGAAUGUCUAAUUCUACUUUUGCUCUUUUGAGGGGAUACAUACCUUCCUUGCUUUUUUUGAAACUUUAUGAGGAGAAUGAGAUGCUCUCUCUCUUUUUUUUCCUCUCAGGUGGGUAUCUUGUACCCCUAAUUCUACUGUCGGACACUUGUCCAUUUUUACCUCUCGUCUCACUUUUUCUUUCUUUCGAGGUUCCGGGCACUUGCCCCUUUUUAUUUCCUCGUUUAUAUAUAUUUUUUUUCUUCUCUUUUCUUUUUUUUCACAGCACUCAUCUCUUGAGAUAAUAUAGCAAGUGGUAGUAACCAAAAUAUUUGGAGCAUUUAUUUCACAGGGAAUAACAGGGAUAGGAAAAUGUUUUUGACUAUUCUCUCCCGGAUUAGGAGUAGAAUAUUUUUUGGUUAUUCUGGAGAUGGAAAUGGAUGGAUAUAUGUGGAUGGUACUUCCGGAGUAGAAGUAGCAUAUAUGAGUGAAUGUGCAAGUGAAUCUUGAUUUAACCACAUGACAAGUUCCUAAGGGUCUACACAGCUUGACCACACUCAAUGCUCAUAAGCAGUAAAUAGUAAAUGUGUGGCUCAAAGUCUAGCAAGCAUGUAUAUAUGGCAGUGGUAGGAAUUUAACUCUCAUCAUACAGGAACUCAUCAUGCAAUAUUUUAAAGAUUUUUCAAAGAUAAAAUUCUCCAGAAUUCUAGCAUCUCUAGGAACAGAUAAACAACAGCUCAACCUUCCCAUAUCAUAUCCGUUAACAACUUAGAUUUCAGAUCAAGUUUUCAUCGCACAAGUUUAGAUCUAGAGCAAGCUUUAAAUUAUAACAGUUAUGUCUAAACUUGAGAGGGAACUUGAAAAUUGCAAAUUAGGCAGAGCAACUAUUCAUCAUAUCCGUGCUAGAGUUUUAUUAUUAAGAUUCAGAUUAGCAUAGCCACUUUAUUUAUUUAUUAAACAUACUAAGCAAAAGAUAUAUAUAUAAGCACAAAAUCUUUAUUUUGUUUUUUCAUAGUUUAUGUAUUUUAAUAUUCUAACAUAAUAUAAGUAUAAAGGUAGGUAGAAAUACUUAGCGAGAAUAAUGGGGGUGCUCUCCCCCAAGCUGAGUUUUGACGUAAUUUCUCUUGAUGUAGCUAGCAGGUGGCAAAGGUGUAUUUGAAAGUCAGCAGCAUUCUGACAGCGAUUAGAAUGUCCUCCGUCUGCUAGUCUUCUUGAUUCUUAAAUUCUGUGGAGCUCAAAUAGACAACAAAGCUUGUGGAACUAAUUAAGUGUUAACAUAAAUAUCUAGCCUUCAUCAUGUUGAGCUUCCUUAAUAAAUGUUAUUUAUUUAGUAGGAUCAUACACUUAUUAUUAUUAUUAUUUUAUAUUUUUAUUGUAAGAUGAAAACUUAUUUAUUUUAUUUUUAUGCCACCACAGUGAAUGUACUUAUGGGUUUUAUGCCAUGAGCAUACUCACAUGGGGCUUACUAUUUAACAUUUUUAUUUUCUUUUCAAGAUAGCAUGAACCUGAUUAACUAGGCAAAUUGAAAGAAAAGGGUAACUACCAAGUUUACCUCUUGGUAAGGCGUUCAGUAUUUUUAUGUCCUCCGAACGGGACUCUCUGUUUUCUCAGUCAUCCUGGGAUUCGCUAGGUGGCGUAGUCGGUGAUUCCGGCGGCGCCUCUCUUCGUGUAUAACUAUCUUCUCCCUCCACACCUGACUCGGUGCUACGGUCUCCUCAGGACAGUUCUGUUCAAGCUGUAUGUCUUCAGUCCUUAUCACUUUUCCUUCGUAGUCUACCCAUCCGUUCUUGAUGAUUUGCCUCCUCUGGUUGCGGUUGCGUCGUCUUCUUGUCCUGACCUGCUUAGAGUCUUCAACUAUAUAGUUAUGGUCAGUAAAAUAGUUGCGUACCUUCUCAGAGGGGAAGUACAUGUGGACUUCUCCGGUUCCAAUGUAGAUGAUUGCUUUGAUAGUGUUGAGGAACGGUCUUCCAAGGAUGGUGGGUGGAUCAUAUUCAUCUUCUCCCAUGUCAAUGACCUGAAAAUUAUCUGGAGCUGAAUAUAUUGGUUGUAGGGGCAUGGUUCCAUGCAGGAGCUGAUAAAUGACUGCGGCCAUUAUGUUGUCGUCAGAUCCGGUGUCGUAGAUUGUCUUCUGAAAAGAGUAUCCAUUGAUUGCGCACUCGAUGCUUGGAACACCAGGGUCGUCCUUCUUGAUCAAGAAAGGUGACUUGAGUCGACGAUGUUGACCUCUUCCGACAAGGAUCCAAUGUUUUAAGUCUUCUGGACAAGACUUUCCACCAUCUUCAUCCUUUAGGUGCAUCAUUUGAUUGGGUGUGGACCUUGACGUCUGCACCUCUUGAUACGGUGUCACCCAUGUUCUUCUUUGCCCAGCAGUUCGAAGUACGGUGUUGGCAAUAUCCUGCUCAGUGUGUUUGUGCUCAUAGAUCCAGGUCCUUCACUUGGUGGAGUCUGGGAGUUGUAAAACUCCUCCAUGUUUUGCUUGAAGUGUACUUGUUCAUAGAGACAAGGCAGAGAUCAAGUGCAUGGGCUCUGUUGGUGGAAAACACCAACAGAACCAAAAGUGUAUUUGUUCUUCUCUAACCUUAAGCAUAGUGAGCAAGACAAAGUUGAUGGAUAAUAAGAUCAUGAGUGUAGUAUUUGAAACAUUUGUCAGAUCAGAUGGCUCAACCUAAUGGAAAGAUAAUCUAUCUAUAUUUAUGUUUUGUUUAUAUCUUCCAAACAUUGAAUGUGCAACAUAUUAGCUUAUAUGUUUAGGAGCGUGGGAUCAUGAAGGUAGUACUAAGAACAAAGAUUAAAGGACUAAACAUGUUGAAUUAAUUGAGUUGGUUAAUCUGGAGUUAUAAAUCCUACAUGUUUGUCUCUUUAUUUAUGUGAAUGCUAGAACCAAGGAGAAGCUUAUAAAAGCGAUAGUCAAGUACCAUAAGGUGUUACCUUACUUGAAGAGUGACGGUACAGUAUCACCUUGUGGAAGCUUUCCUUUCUUAGCGGUUGUGCAUCGUGUUUGUGACACCCUUCAUGAAUCAUCUCUUAUGAGCCACGUCUUUCCUGUGCAAAUUGUUAAACUUCAUGUGUCACUUUCUUCAUCUCCAAUGCGAGUUUAUCUCAGGACUUCCCAGGUUGAUAUUGAAAGUUUUCCUACAGGGGUUAGUCCAACAAAAUAUCCCAUAUCUACUAUAGCAUACUAUCGGCUUAAAAAUCAACCUAGACACCAUGUCUAAUUUGAUUUAGAAGGGCAUUUUAACCUAAGCACCAUGCUUAAUUUAAAAUCCCUUGGAAGUAAGAUCAUCAUUCCUAAACUAAGCACCAUGCUUAAUUAAGAGAUAAAUGAAACUAUUCCAAACCUAGACAUAUACUAAAGCAAAUAAAGGUAGCAUGAGAGCAUUUAUAGAGAUCUACUUAAGUGGAGAUGAAGUAGUGUAAUUAGUAUUUAACAAAUUGAUCAUGUCUCAAAGGUAAGGACAACCAACGUAGCAACAUGGCAAAAGAUGUUUUUAUGUAAAGUACUCCCCCAAGCUUGAAUUUUACAAAAUUCAAGUUUGGAUGAAUUUAAUUCAAUGUUGUGUGAUGGUUGGUUGGACAUACCCUGUGCUUGUCAUUCAUCCGAUCUUCUUGCUCCAAUCCUGGAAAGGUUAGUGACAAGAAUACCCGAAGGAAUAUUUCUGCAAUUAUCUUUCAAUACACAAGGCAAUGUUGCAAAUAAUUAGAAGUUCAUGUUAUGAUCUGAUAAGUGCUUGUUUUAGGACACUAAGCUUGUUCUUGGGAAACCAUCAAGUUAUGUUGGUGAAGUGGUUUCCCCUCCAACACCUACCUAUAUCAAGAUCGAGAUCUGCAAUAUUUAUUAUAGACAUAUACAUCGACAACCGCCCUUUUAAAGUUUUUAUAAACGAAGAGGAAAAGGGGGUUGGAGAUCUCAAAUGUGGUAAGGAUGGAGAGACAAAUUGAUUGGAGAGAUGUUUUAUAUGAGCAAGGACUGGGUGAGGUAUUUAUGAAAUAACUUCCAUGCUCACAGUUGUUUCUCUCAAACUCCAAGGAUGAUUCUUCAUGAAUGCUUAAAAUUCCUCUAAGAUUGUCUCUCAAGUUUGUUUUAUCUAUCCAUUCAAUGGUGAUAGCACAUGGAUUUUUAAUGCCCUCUAGCCAUUGAUGUUGCUUUUCUCGAUCCUCCUUCUUAUGCAUGGGAUGUCUAGAGAGAUUCAUAGGAUUAUCGGGAGGUUCAAGAGAAAAAGCAUAGUAGAAAUUAUUAAACUCAAGGAUGGGUUGGAUAGCCGAAUUAUGGGAUUGAAAUGUUUGGAAAUCGGCUAUUGAAACUUCCUCUCCUUGUAUGGGAGAUGAUUCCUUCUCUAUCUCUAAGAUUUUUCUAUGAAGACUAGUGCAAGAAGGGUGUCUACGAAUGAAGACAUACCUUCCUUUACUAAUAGAUAAAGAAAGAAAGACUCUACCAAAGGUUAUAUGAUUAAGACCAAUGUGAAAAUAUCUAGGAAAAACAUGGUCUUGUAGGGCUAGGUCUAAACCAGAAUUUAUAGAAAGAUUAAAAGAUUCCCUAGGUGUAGCUAAAAGUGCAUUAUCUUUUUGAUUAAAAGAUAGGACCUCAGCUAUAGAAAAGGGUUGGUUUUGACCUAUUGCAAUCAACUCCGGACACAGAUCAUAAUUAGGGGCAGGACGUGUUGACUCCCAUGGUCUAUGGCUGGUCUCCGAAGGUGCAAAGAAUUCAAUAAUAGGUAUGGAAUUUGAGUUAUCCAUAAAGAUAAAAAUAAAAAGAUAAAAGAAUAAAAGUAUAAAAGUAUAAUACAAGAUAAUAGCAAGACUCAAAGUUAUCUCAGCAAACCGUCUUUCUCCCCGGCAACGGCGCUAGAAAUGCUUGUUGAUAUUUGGUAACGCAAUUAGAAAAUGAUCCGCAAGUGCACGGAUAUCGGUGAGCAUUUCACCCGGGAGGUUAUCCAGAGUUAUCGUAUUUAUAUUUUUACCACUGGGAGAAAGGGUGCAUCUGACUAACCAAAUCUAUUGCUACUAUCCCUUUAGGCACAAAGAAUGUCUUUCGAUGUGAGUGAUAAAUAGAGAAGACUGCAACCGUAGUCUCCUUCUAACCUUGGUAAGGGUGAUCUAUUGUUCUAUUGGGGAGGCUCACGGAAUCUAGACAACACAAAGGAUGUUCGACCCGCACCUAUAAACCCUAUCCUUCCUGCUAACGAGAUGUGAUCUACAAAGGUAGCUCAGAAUUGUCACGUUCCUCACUACUACCACGGUCCAGCUAGUCAGGGAAUAUCUAUGAGUACCCCAGCCUAAACACCACGUUUACGCCAGCAAUGAUUACUAUAAACUCUACGCGAAGAGAUUAAAGUAAACACAUAAACCAUAAGAACAAUAAAACAAGAACUUACUAGAAUUUAGAAGUCGAAUUACUGAAGAAUCCUAGGAGCAAGCUUCGGGUUAGGAGAACUUGAUCCCGCAGGUACAAGCUUGGAGUAGACACCGACAGGCCGGGCUUCCUCCAAUCUACACCUCCACUCUAUCUCUCUCAAUCUAGUAGAAACUAGAAGAUCUAUUUCUACCUUACAUUGGUUGCUAAGCCUAAAAAGAAAUAUUAAUUAGAGAAGAGAUUUUCCUUCGAGGGCACCCCUCAAUCUCUAUGAUAAUUUCUUCAUGUCUUCUCCAGGGGCAGGGGGGUCUCCUUAUAUAGUCCUCCCCUUCUAUGCGUUUUUGGGUCGAUAGGCGAGGUGGUACUAUGUUUUUCUUGAUCCAAUAGGUCGGUGGAACAUCCCGAGCGAAGAGAGUCCUGAAAGCAAUCCAGUAGGGGGCGGGCGCCCAAGUCCUCAGGGCGGGCGCCCUGGGCCUGGCCCCGUUUCGCCUCCGCUUCGGUCUAGUGGCUUCUGGAGUCUUCUAGAUGGUGUAAAAUCGUGCGGUGCGUUGAUAUCUCUAUGUAAUCCCGACAUGUGGGCCUUUCUUCCUUAUUUCCUGAUAACCCCCUGCAGAAAUAGACAAACACCAAAACUCGUGGAAUUCUGUCAGAUAAAACCCUAAGUCUAGAUGUUGAUUUCAUUUGGAUCCUUUUCUUUGUUUAUUUGAUAAUUAAAUUUGAUACUUAAGGACCGUCAACACAUACAAAUGCGGCAAAUGGUUCAUGAGCUUGCCCCCCCUAUUUGUGUGCUCAAGUUUUAAUUUAUCCCUUUCUAUUUUCAAAAAUUUUCUUUCCCCCUUAAGCACUUUUCUCCCCCUUUAUGACUUAUCUUUGUUUCUCUCCCCCUUUGUCAUCAAUGACCACAAAGGUUAAAUUUUUAGUGAGAAUUAAGUCAAUCAAUGUGAGGGUCAAAUUAUGGUUCAAUCUUGAUUACUUGCCUAGAUCAUGUAAUUCGGUUUGAUCCAAGGACAAGCUUUUUCACACCUCAUAAAGUAUAAGGGUUAUCUUGACCAUGUGGAAUAACAUACCAUAAGCUUAUAUUCUAGAUUCAACACUAGGCUUGCAAACUCACAAAAAUGUCAUAUGCUACCACUAGAUCAAUCAAUCAUAGGAACAAUAGUGGUACCAUACAUACAUCAAAUUCUAUUGAUUUUUAUGAAUGAGCCUAUUGUCAUGCAAACAUGUCUAUAUGUUUUAAUCAUGUCCUUAGUGAAGUAUGAAUGCCAUAUCAACCAUCUUUACCUUGCUUUGUUGGAGGAGAGGCAUGUCAUAUAUAUAUAUGUGUGGCUGCACUUAUCUCAAGUUGGAGAAGUCAAGUAUGUUGAAUUCAUUUCUCAACUUGCAAAAUCUCUUCUCAUCAAGUGGCUUUGUGAAGAUGUCGGCUAGUUGAUCUUCGGUGCCAAUGCUUUCAAUGCUAAUAUCACCCUUUUGUUGAUGGUCUCUUAUGAAAUGGUGCCUUAUAUCAAUGUGCUUGGUUCUUGUGAUUCCAAAGUCAUUCAAGGUAGCUUUCAUCCAAAGCAAUUGUGCACAACAACUACCGGCACUAAUGUAUUCCGCCUCGGUGGUUGAUAGUGCAACACUAUUUUGUUUCUUUGACGACCAUGAAACUAGAGACCUUCCUAGCAAUUGAUAAGUACCACUUGUGCUCAUUCUAUAAAUCUUGCAUCUACAAUAGUCGGAGUCCAAAUAUCCAAUCAACUCAAAGUUAGCCCCUUGGGAUACCAUAAUCCAACAUCAUGAGUGGCCUUGAGAUACCUCAAUAUUGUUUUGGUUGCCUUCAAGUGACUCUCUCUAGGUGAAGCUUGGUAUCUUGCACAUUUGCACACGCUAAACAUCACAUCUGGCCUUGAUGCGGUGACAUAGAGUAAACUUCUAAUCAUGGACCAAUAUAGCUUUUGAUCUAUCAUGUUGACACUAGCAUCAUUACCUAAUUGAUCAUUUGUGCCCAUAGGUGUGCUCAUUGGUUUAGCUUCUUGCAAUCCAAACUUCUUGAUCAUGUCCUUGAUGUACUUGCCUUGACUCACAAAAGUGUCAUUCUUCAUUUGCUUGAUUUGAAGACCAAGGAAGUAACUAAGCUCUCCUAUCAUGGACAUCUCAAACUCUUUUGCCAUCAUUUUUCCAAAUUCUUCACAAAAAUCGUGAUUGGUUGAUCCAAAGAUGAUAUCAUCAACAUAGAUUUGCAACACGAACAAGUCAUUGCCUAGUUUCUUGGUGAAGAGGGUAGUGUCAACUUUUCUCAUCUUGAAACCUUUAGAGAGAAGGAAAUCUCUCAAUCUCUCAUAUCAUGCUCUAGGUGCUUGCUUCAAACCAUACAAUGCCUUCUUGAGCUUGUAAACAUGGUUAGGUUUCUUGUCAUCUUCAAAACCAGGAGGUUGUUCAACAUAAACCAACUCAUUGAUGUAUCCAUUGAGAAAUGCACUCUUCACAUCCAUUUGAUAGAGCUUGAUGUUGUGGUCACAAGCAUAGGCUAAUAAUAUUCUAAUUGCCUCCAAUCUUACAACCGGUGCAUAUGUUUCUCCAAAGUCAAGACCUUCAACUUGAGUGUAGCCUUGUGCUACAAGUCUUGCUUUGUUUCUCACAACUACACCAUCUUGAUCUUGCUUGUCUCUAAAGACCCACUUGGUACCAAUCACAUUAUAGUUCUUUGGCCUCUCAACAAGCUCCCACACUUGAUUUCUUGUGAAGUUAUUCAAUUCAUCAUGCAUGGCAUUUACCCAAUUAGAAUCUUUCAAUGCAUCUUCUAUCUUCUUUGGUUCCUCAAAUGAGACAAAUGAGUAGUGCUCACAAAAAGAUGCUAGCCUUGAUCUUGUUUGCACACCACUUUGAAUACCACCAAUGACUUGAUCUAAUGGAUGAUCCUUGCUAUGCUUGUACGUUGGAGUAUUGGGAGUUGAUUGCUUCCACUUGCUUGAAUUUGAUUUUGAUCAUCAUCAUGACAGCCACUAGUACUAGCUUGAUUUGUAUCAAUUUGCACUUCUUGAUUGAUCAUGUGAGUGUCAUUAUCAUCAUCAACUUGCCUUAGCCUUAUGUCACCAACAUCUAUGUUCUUCACUGCAUUUGCUAAUUGAUCUCCUCUCACAUCAUCAAGAUUUUGAGCUUCACUUUGAGAUCCUUCGGUUUCAUCAAACUCAACAUCAUGAACUUCUUCUAAUGUGCCACUUGCCAAGUUCCAAACUCUAUAUGCCUUGCUUGUGGUGGAAUAACCAAGUAAGAAACCUUCAUCACAUUUCUUCUCAAACUUGCUCAAUCUAGUGCCUUUCUUGAGAAUGUAGCAUUAGCAACCAAACACUCUAAAGUAUGCAAUGUUGGGCUUUCUUCCAUUCAAUAGCUCAUAUGGUGUCUUCCCAAGCUUUCCAUGGCAAUAUAGAUGGUUGCUACAAUAGUAAGCCGUGUUGAUAGCUUCACUCCAAGAUGAAUUACUAACAUUGUAUUUGUAAGCAUUGAUAUGGCCAUGUCAAUCAAGGUUCUAUUCUUCCUUUCAACUACACCAUUGGAUUGAGGAGUGUAUGUUGGAGAUAAUUGAUGUCCAAUGCCAAGAUCAUCACACAAUUCCUCAAUUCUUGUGUUCUUGAAUUCACUACCAUUAUCACUUCUAAUCUUCUUGAUAGUGGUUUCAAAUUCAUUUUGCACAAGCCUCAAUUCACUACCAUUAUCACUCAAUUGUUCAAUUGUUUCAUUCCAACAUGACCAAGCCUUCUAUGCCACAACCAACCCAAACUUGAUUUUCCAAUUAGGCAAGAUGUCAAUUGAGUGUCACUAUAAUUGAAAUCAACCAAGUAUAAGCUACCAUGUCUAAAUCAUUUGAAUAUCAAGUUUGAUCCAUCAAUACUAACCACCUCAACAUCAUCACUACCAAAGAUGCACUUGAAACCAAAGUCACAAAGUUGUGCAAUUGACAAGAGAUUGAAAUCAAGGCUCUCAACUAGCAACACAUUUGAUAUGCUCAGGUCAUUUGAGAUAGCAAUUUUACCAAGCCUCUUGACCUUGCCUUUCUUGUUGUUGCCGAAGUUGAUUGAAUCAAAGCCACCAUUUUGACUAGUAUCAAUUGAUUUGAACAUACAAGACUCUCCGGUCAUAUGUUGAGUGCACCCACUAUCAAGAACCCAAUGCCUUCCUCUGGCUUUGUAAUUGACCUACAAGACAAGAUCAAUUCUUUUUAGGUACCCAAAAUUAAUUGGGCCCUCUAAGGUUAGCAACUAAGCUCUUUGGUACCCAAAUGGCUUUCUUCUUUCAGCCCAUCCAUGGUGCACCAUUGAACUUAGCAUGAACACCUUUUGUAUCCUUGGUAAGCACAUAAAAAGAAUUAAGCUUAACUGAUGAUACAUUAGCUUUGGAAUUCUUGUUCAUGCACUUUUGCUCUAGGUGACCGACUUGCUUGCAAGCUUUGCAAUACUGGCCAUUGUUCUUCACAAACUAGUCUUGUGAGGAGCAAAGGCAGCCUUGCCUUUCUUGGGAUUAUAGCCUAAUCCCUCUUUACAGAGAGAAACUUGUAACACCCCAGUGUUAUGGUUGCAUCAACCACAUGCAUAACAUGAGGAUCAUCAUCUAAUCAAGCAUAUCAUGAUCAUCAAUUACCUUGGGUCAUGUAAUUUUGUGCAAAAAUGUGAUUUAACUUGUUUAGUUAUGCUUCCUAUGCUUGUGUUUGUUGGUACCAUGCUCUUGUUUGUGCUCUAUGCCUUGGUAAUUAGUUUAUCUAUGCUUAACUGAACCUUAGGAGCAAUGUUCAUGUUGAUCACUUCUCCAAAAUAAUCACUUAAGUCAUACUUUCAUGUAUAGGCCCUAGAAACCUCCUUUGCUUAGGCUUUUAAAAAGUGUUCCAUAAAUUGUUUGCAUGUCAAAACUUUCUAUAGCAAAGUUGUAGAAUAUUUUAUAAGGAACCAAAGUUGUUUUAUGUCCAUCUCAUGAAAAUGACCACAUCUUGCUCAAAAAGUGCUUGCAAGGCAGUUUUGGGUGCUGUUUUAGCACUUAGCCAAAUUUGGCUAAGUCCAGACGACACCAGUUUGCUCGAUCGAUAUUGGAAGCUUCAUAUCUCUCAAUCCAUGCCGAUCUGGCUCUUGCUCUAGUUGACAAUGUUGUAGAACGCAGCUAGUACUUCAACUUUGUCAACUACACCAUCUCCUAAUUCGCUUUGGUUCGGGAGAUAAUCGCUGUCAAAGUCGCUUUGUCAGACGACCAUCGCCAUGUCUGAAUCGAAGCCGAGCUCGUCGACGUGGCCGACCGGCGACAGAACUAUGGCGACAUUUGGCGCCCGUACGUCGUUCCUAGCCCCGCUCGUCAGCUCCCAGUGCGCGCAUGACCUCCACGGCGACACCCUGGAUGCAGUGGACGCGUCCAUUCUCUCCUCCGUCUCGCUCUCUCGCUAGAAAAGCGGCCGCAGCGAGCUCACCGUCGCGGGCUCACUCCGGCGAGCUCAAACGUGCUCCUCGCUGCAUUGCUGCCCACCAAAACUCGCCCACAGCUCCGCCGUGACCCGCUCUCCAUCCUCCAUCCGCAAACUCGCCGUGAAACCCUUUGGUGUGCCGACAUUUCCGACUUCCCCCAAAUCUAGUCGCCGUGACCUUCUUCUCCGGCGAACUCAAUGCUGAGCUCCUUGGAGCCUCUCGUCUUCUCUAGUUAGGUCCUAGAGGUAGCUUAGGUCUUUAGCGAAUGUUUGCGCCACUUGGUGGACGCUCUACCGCACUCACCGUCGCCGGACACGACGCGCAGCGCCGCCGUGUUUCCGUCGGAGUUCGGCUCUCUCAUGGCCAGCUCAUUCCACACCGUUCACUGGUGUUGUAGGAAACCCUAGGUCGCGCUCUACCGGCCUGAGAGCUCCGGCGUAACGCCGAGCACCUCCGCCGAGCCGCCGUGGUCGACGGCAAGCCAUUUUCCGGUGGCUCCGCCGUGGGGAAAAGGCGGUCACUCGGUUCGCAAGGGUCUGGGGAUCACGUUGGUGCCCUUGGUUUGGCCGGAUACCUCGCCGUCGCGGAGAAAUCGCCGGUGAAAGUCGUCUCGAUCGUGAGGAAGACGACCCUGACACGCGGGACCCGCUGUCAGUGACACAUCGUUUCCCUCCUUUUCUUUUAUUCAAAUCCAGAUUUUUGGCAUUCUUGCAAAAAUUAUAUCUUCUGUUUCUGUGAUCCAAAAAUUGUGAAACAAAUUUUGUGAUGUUCCUUGAGAUGGCUAGUUUUUAUAAAAAUAUAACAUGCACCAUGUUUUUUGGGAAAAAUAAUUGUUAUGAUUUAAUCUUGUUAUUUAUGUAUAAAUUCAUAUCUGUUGAUAUACUGCUCCUUUUGUUAUGAAAAAUUUAUGCUAGCCCCUGAGUGGCAUGAGUAUGCUAUGAUAAAUAUUUCAUGAUUUUUGGAGUAAUGUAUCUGUGAUAUGUAAUUUAUGUUUGUGAUAUGUCUUGUUUUCUUACUUAAAUGAUAAUAAUUAAUUGGUGCCUAUGCUGGUGCUCUACUCUAGUGUCAAACUUGUUUAUGGUAAUAGUCACAUGUAAAUAAUCUGAAAUUGUUUGACACUAUCUAAGCUAUGUUUCUUAAUUUAUGAAAUAAGCACCUGACACAUGUUAAAUGCUUAUCUCAAAUUUGGCGGGUGCAAUUGUUCUGAAAAUUUUAUGGUAAUGUCAAGAUGAUAUGCUUGUGCUUGCGUAAUUUUUGUAGAUGUUUCUGAGCACUUUUGCUGGUAUCUUGUAAAUAUGUCCUUUUAUGGAAUUAAUUUAAUAAAUAUCAUGUUAUUAUAUGUUUAGUGGUUAACAUGUGAUGUUUCUGGUAAUCUUGUAGUAUGCUAGUGCUUAUAAGCUAUGUGGUUGACACUAAUUAUGUUUUGGCUAUGUAAUUAAACAAUUAAGUAAAGGGUUAAAAGCUGUUCUGGACAGCAAGGGAGUAAUCUAACCUUUGCUUGAUGAUAACUUGGUUUGCUGGAAGACUUGUCUAGAUCAAAGUUGUUGUAAACUUUAUGAACUAGCUGUGGUUUAAUUUUGGGAUCAUUUGGUCCAAUAGUUUAAAAGUUAUAGCUCUUUCAAGUUGGAUUCUAGAAAUAGGUGUUCUCUGUUUUUCUGGGACAGAACCUGGAACUUUGUUUAAAUGACUUAUUUAACUUAUGAAUCUUGCUAUGAUGUCUAAAGAUGAAAUGUAGAAAAUUUCAUAAGCUUUCCAGAAUGUCCUCAUUCAUGAUUGUUGGAUCUGUAUAACUCCAGUUAUGAUUUAUUCCUUGAGCUGCACUGCUACGUUGGUCAUUGCUGUUUGUUGUUUAACUUGGUAAUCUUGCUAAGUAGUUAAUCAUCUUGCACGAACUUAUUAUAAAAGUUACUCCAUAAAUGAGUGUCCAGUGAGUCUAAUUACGUUAUCGAGCAUUCAUCCUUUUAGUAUGCACACAUUCUUAUUCAUCGUGCAUGCAAUAGGUGCACCGGAAACGACCGCUGCGUUCGAGCUCCAAGUGAACCCCGAGGGCCAAGAGAUCAACCCGGAGGUGGAGGUCCAGCAAGCCGGACACGAGAAGCCCGAAGAAGAGAUUGAGUGCCCGAAUCACGAGCCUGCAUCGUUCGUGAAAGGCAAGCCCCGGAGCAUCUUAAGUCUCCCACUUUAAUUUCGAAAGUUUACUUGAUUAUGUUAUAUCUAUUGAUGCAUUACAUAUAGGAGUUGUGAUGAAACCCUUGCUGUAUUUUACUCAUUCCUUGUCCAGAUAUCUUACCAUUACCUGGUCAUAGAGUUAGGAUCGAGUAGCAGCUUAGUCAUGCUUUAAUCGGUAGAAGUCGGGUGAUAUCCUGUCACCUGUGCGAGAUAGGGUUGUGUCGGAUCACGAUUGUCUAUAUGUGCUAUCGUGGAAAGAACCUGAUUAAAAUGACUUAAGCCGGGCGGAGUUUUGCAAGGUUGUAGUAACUCCGUCUGUGGCAGCUAAGGACCGAUCGUUGUACGUCCUCUUGUCAUGUUGAACGCAUGCCUGACACUUAGUUGGCCGGAUAACUCGUUCCGACCGCGAAGCCUAGUAGUAUGACUCAGGCCGGAAGACCGGUAAGUAUAAAGUGCGCACUACCGGAGGAAUUGCGGUGUGCGGGGGACUAUUGCCGUAGGACCAAAGGCAGGUGAGUUAAAAGUCCUGACCUCCCUGGCAGAGUGGUAGCCCUAGGAGUGCGGCGCUUAUCGGAGCCGCGAUUCCUGAGUCGUACCAAAGGUGACUGUUGACGGUCCUUAAGUAUCAAAUUUAAUUAUCAAAUAAACAAAGAAAAGGAUCCAAAUGAAAUCAACAUCUAGACUUAGGGUUUUAUUUGACAGAAUUCCACGAGUUUUGGUGUUUGUCUAUUUCUGCAGGGGGUUAUCAGGAAAUACGAAAGAAAGGCCCACACGUCGGGAUUACAUAGAGAUAUUAACGUGCCGCGCAAUUCUCUUACAUCUAGAAGACUCCAGAAGCCACGAGACCGAAGCGGAGGCGAAACGGGGCUAGAGGCAGGGCGCCCGCCCUCCUGCCCUGGGUGCCCGCCCCCUCCGUGAGUCCAAUCAGGACUCUGCUUCGUGGCAGAUCUCCACCGACCUAAAGGAUGAAUCUAAACCAUACAAUCUAUGUCGGUUUGAUCCAACGGCCCAUAUUCACUUGAAGGGACUAUAAAACCAGACCCCCUAGCCCCUGGAGGAGAGAGCCUCUCCACCCUAAUUCAUUGUUCCUCAAGGGAGAAGAAGCCUCUGAUCAAGAUUAGGGCCACCACAUCAAUUAGAUAUCUAGAUUAGCAUAGCUACAUAGAAUUAGAACUACAAGGAGUCAAUCUUCGAUUGGUUUCUGGAUCUGUCAGGAGGAUUCUUGGUAAUUCUCUAAUUGUGCAUCUAAUUGCUUUCUAAUUAUCUUUGUUCUUCAAUAUUAUGAAUAUGACUUUGUUCUACUUCAAUAUAUUGCUUAUGACUUUGCUCUACUUACUUAUAUUCAAGAUUAUAUUGUUCUUAGUUUAUUAUAGUUAUGUACUUGGCUUAGUUAGAUUGGAUCUAUAUACAUGCUUAGCAUCGUAUAGCGUUUAUCCAUCGGAUCCAUGGGUAAAUGAUAGAUAUUAUGUAGGCGUGGUGCUUAUACCGUAUUUAUCUGCGAUUGUACCCAAUAUGCCAGAUCGUGGGGUAGUUCGUGAUAGUGACAGCUUCAUUGAUUCUUAUAUAGUCCCCCUCUCGUGUAUUGGGCUGACAGAGCAACAUUGUUAUAGGGGAGUGAUUGCUAUGUUUCUCAUUUACCUUGCUAAUAUCACUAUGCAUGGGCGUAGUCUUGUCUCGCAAUGAUUGCUAAGUAUGCUUGCACUAACUAUGAUAAUGCUAGACUAUAUAGUUGAGAAUAACUUAGGGAAUAUUCUUAUAGUUCGUUCUAAUACCAUGCUAAUGACUUUCUAGAGUAUCUAAUUGAGGUGCUUAUCAUAUUUAUUAUGUGGCUGAUCAGAUUAAUUACCUUUGUCACUAUUCAUUAACUCAUAUAUCUUUUAUGUGACACUUAUCCCUGUAUGAAGAGUUAGAUAAAUGUUCUCAGUUACAUAUGCAAUGAUAGAUACUCAAUCUCAUAUUCUAUUCUGUAAUCAAUAGUGAUGAUUGUUAAUCCCUUCCCAGUGGUAAAAAUAUAAAUAACAAUACCUGGAAUACUUCCUGGUUAAAAUGCUGCAUCGGUAUUAAUCUGUGCGCUUGCAGAUCCCAUUCAUUAUUUAUUUAGAAGAGCAAUUGCAUAUUUCAAUACCCCGUCUCUUAUAUCAUGCUGGGGAUGACAACUUGGCUUAAGUGGUGUGAGGGAUAGGUUUGGCAUUUUUGGCACUGUUACUAGAUUUAGAACUUAGUCUACUUUUGGUAAUGAUGUUAAGAGUACCCAACAAGCAUUUUUGGCGCCGUUGCUGGGGAAGGUUGAUUACUAAUCAGGAAUGGAAUAAAGGAUUUUGAGUUAUCAUUCGCAUCACUAAUAUGAUUGAGCUUAUCUAUUCUCUCAUAUAGUUUUACCCCGAUAUUUUUCUAUUUUAUCUUAUGCAGGGGAAUGUAUGAAUAGAAGACAUCUUCCAGGAAAUUUUGUUGACAAUCCCAAAGCAUUAUUCAAGAAGACGAGAGCCAAGCUCAAGAAGAGAUCAUCAACACUUCAGCAAGAAGCUUCAUCCAAUCAAGAAGUGUCGGUGUUUUCCCCACGGGGGGUCACACCAACGAGUAAAUUUGUAUGCGUGCUCCCUUUCCCAGAUGGUGAUGCAAGAACACACAAAGAUUUAUCCUGGUUCGGGCAAGAGGAAGCCCUACGUCCAGCGGGGGGGAAGUCUGUAUUAUCUUGCACCUAAGUGCUCGUACAGGGGUGAAUACAAUCAUGAUAUGGAGUGUGUGAGCUCUACUGCGUAUGGUCUCGCCCCUGUUCUAUUCCUGAGUCCCCCCUUUUAUAGCACCAAGGAGAGACCUAGGAUACAUGUAUAGGUGUCAGAAUAGGAGUCGAUAGCAGCAUGGAGCGCUGACCUACUCGAGGCUUCUGUACCGGCAUGGCCUCGAGCCAUCCCGUCUUGAUAGCCUGGUGAUUAUUACGCGUGCCCCUGCAUUCUGCUCUGCGCGCCGUCUUGUGUUGGGUCAAUGGUCGCACGCUUGUACGGUAUGGCGGCAGAUCCGACGGGGUGGUUGUGGUGUUAUCAGUCGACGCCCAACUUGUCCCCAGGAUGGAACCCUGUUCGGUCGAGGGUCGGACGCCGUGUAAUGUCCUGAUAUCGGAGCGCUGACCUUGGUUACCUUCGAGGGGUCUUGAUUUGACAUUCCAUCCCCGCUUCCCACGUCCUGACACGGCCUGGGUCGUUUGGUGGGAAGGCUGCAAAAAGAACGAUGGGACAGAUGCCUGUUCCCUAUCGCACCUCCCGUGACCUGUGUGUUAGGUGGGGAAGCGUCAGGCGCAUUUAAUGCUCCGGCUCGCGUGCGCGCGUCGGGCGGCGGGGGCGUCCUUGCGCUCGACGCCUCCCAGUUCAUGUGAGCCUGUUUCCGUAUUCGACGGCAGCUUGCGCUCGACCCCUGAUCGAUUCGCUCGACGCUAUUUCCGUCUUCGAGGUUGUGGACGUCGAAGGCUGCGUGUACGCAUGGCCAGAGCUUCGAGUCGAGGGCCUCAUCCUGCGUAUGGAUAGUCUUGUUAUGCGCAUUGGUGAGGGUACCCCUUAUUGAUACCCUCGACAGUAGCCCCCGAGUCUCCGUUCGAGCGCUGGCGCUCGAGUGGAGACUUGUACCCUCGGGUCGAGCUUCCGUGGGGGCACGCGAGCGACCCCGCGGGGGUAGCCCCCGAGCCCUUGAAGGAGUUUUUGACUCCUUCGAGGGUUAUAUUGCCUAGUUUGUAGAAACGCUAUCGACACUAGUGGUGGUAGGUUCUAAUUGGCUCGUUUUACGUGGAGGUUUCGACGUACUCUCGAUAGAGCGAGCGUCUUCCCCCCAAGAUUGAGUUCCUAGCGGGUAGUCCAAGUGAGAACCUGUGCCCUUUUCGAGGGGGUUAGCUGUAGCCCGGAGGCGUUCUCAUAAAGCAGGGUCGACGUGGUCGGGGAUACCGGUCUCAUUCGAUAGAGUCCAGCGGCUCGAUGCCUCCCGUCGGGGGGAUUCCUCUCGACUGUCUCGACUCUACCUUGGACAUCCCCAGCGAGUCUUCGAGGCAGGCCUUGAUCUUAGACCGCUCGAUGGAGAUCCCUGACUCCGGUGCUCGAGAUCUGCUGUCGAACCCUUUCGGUGGGCCAGCCUGCGACCUCUCGAGGCUUUCGCGGGUACGCCCCUUGGCUUACAAGGGAAGGAAGUGGCCGUGGCGGUUCGCCUUUUUGCCCGUUGGGCGCGCCUUUUUAGGCGGAUGACGUUACGACACUGCGUCGGCGUGGAAUUCGGAGCGCCCCGCCUGUGAAGGGGGAAAGACUGUUAGGUGGCGCAUUUAUGGGGGGACGUUACCUCAUUUCUCGGAUCCGUCCGUUGGCGGAUCGUUGCUUAUAAAUACGCUGUGGCACCACCGCUGUUCUUUCUUCCGCCUCCCAUCUUCACUCUUGCCUUAGCCUUUUUGCCGUCUUAGCUUUCUCGCCGUCUCACGCGCACAAGCCUCCUCGAGCAGUAGUGGAUCCACCGUCCUUCCAGCCGAGAUGCCUGUGAGACUCGUUGCCGCUGACGAGUGGCACCCGUCGUUGAUGAAGGAGCGCCGGUUGUUAGAGCUUGAGAGAGAGGGACUGCUGCGCCGCCGUACCUCGCUAUCGUCGCCCGAGUGGAUCGCGCCGCCGGCGAACCACAGGGAGCCCCAACCGCCCGAGGGCUACGUGGUGUCAUUCGCCAAAUUCCACCGCCACGGCCUGGGUGCUCCUUCGAGCCGCUUUAUGCGGGCACUUUGCCUCCACUACGGGGUGGAGCUUCAGCACUUUUCCCCGAACGCCAUCACCGUCGCGGCGGUCUUCGCUGCCGUGUGUGAGGGCUACUUGGGGAUGAUGCCGCACUGGGAGCUGUGGCUCCACCUCUACAGGGGCGAGCUUUUCCACGCCCCCACCGGAACCACGGGUGUAAGGAAGCUCGUGCGGGCGGGAUGCCUCAAUCUUGUGCAGAAGACGGGGAAGACGGACAGGCCGCGGGAGUACAUCCCGGUAGGGUUAUCGACCAACCACGCUGGCUGGGACUCCCAGUGGUUUUACCUACGGAACGACGACAACCUCCUGCCUUCCUACUCGGGUCGUCUGAUCAUUGAGCGUCUAGCGGACUGGACAUACGGCGUUGUCCAAGCUCAUCAAUCUCGGCUCGACCCCCUCCUCGACGCCCUGAAGAAGCUUCGCCAGGAGGGUUUGACCGCCGCUCUCAUCCUCUCGGCCGUCCAUCACCGGAGAGUUCUCCCAUUGAUGUCUCGACCGUUGAGGAUGGACGAGAUGGGCCCUGGCGUCUCAUCUCGGGACCUCGAGGCGUGCCGGAUGUCCAACGAGGCUCCGGCGGACGACGAAGUCGCGGCCCGAGUCAGGGCUGCAAUUGCCGGUGAUUUUCAGCCGGAUCAUGUUAACGGCUUCCCCAUGAGGCCAGAUGCAGGCUCGAUCGAUCUGGUACGCUUUCUUCUCGUGCGCAGCCUAGAUUAUGGGUUUCCUUUCCCCCCCUUUUUUUUUAAGUCUGCCUUUGUUUUGGCAGGGACGGAUUGAUGUCCGGUCCUCGAGGCCUCCGGUAAAGGAGGACGAGGUCGAUCGCGACAAACGGCGUCAAUCCACCGAAAAGCUAAAGUCCGCCAAGGACUCUGCAAAGAAGGGGGAGAAGAAGAAGAACCUCGACCGCCAAGCAUUAGAGGCGCGUCGAGCCAAAUCUAGGCAGAGGGGGGAGCCAGAGGAAGGAUCCCCCAACGACGACGAUGAUGACGACGAGGACAGCGACGACUCUGAGGGGAUGGCGUCACGCCUUGACCGAAUCCUCGAGGGUCCGCCUCAAGGCGACGUCGACGCCCCCCAGGCGGAGACUCCAAAGGAGGGUCCGAGCGGAUCUCACCGCCCUCGGGCCGACACCCCUCCUGCGCCCAAGGCUGGUCAAGUCGCACCGCGCCCUCCCCCGGCGCCCAGGGAGAGUGGUCAUGCUAGGCCCCAGGCGACGGGGCCACUGACUCGCGGUCGCGCCGCGGCCUCCGAGAAAGGAGAGGCCGGCCGUAGGAGCGCCAGUCCCGGCGUCCACCAGGCGGGAACUGCCGCGCCAAGGCCAGCGCCUGCCUUCGAGGGGCCUGGGGCCCUGACGCGGGGUGGCUCGAGGCCCGCCGGUCGGGGCGGCGGGAGGCGAGCUAUUCUCCCUGUGGGGUAAGCUUUUUCGACGUUGUGGCUUUUGUCUUCCUGCUCCUUCUCCGGCGCUCAUCCCUUUCUUUUCUCAGGCUAAAGCGGACCCUCGAGCAGGCCCAGCCGUCCAUGGCAAAGAGGCUCAAAGCGGGAGCCGCCUCCAAGGAGCCAGGUUUGUGGUUUACUUUCGGGAUUUGUGACAUUCUUGCGCUAGCCAUCGUAGUCACCGGCCUUUAUUCUUUGUUUUGUAGGCUCCUCCGACUCCCAACCUCCAGCCAGCAUUGAGAGUGCUCCGCCUCGUCCCGUGCCUACCCCGUCGCCGCCGACGUGUGGUGAGGUGCCCCAGACGCAAGUGCCAGAGGGAGCCCCCGAGCCUCCUCGAUUGGAGGUCGAGGGGGAACCCAUCACCAUCAGCGAUACGUCUGAUGGUAACGAAGCGUCUGGGGGUGCCCGCCCUAUGGAGGAGGAAACGUCGACCUCCCACAUCGCGAGAUGGACUCCCUGGCCCGCUGGCCUUCGAGCCCUUGAAGAGCAAAGGGAGAAGGAGAAGGAGGAGGAGGAGCGGGAGCGUGGGGCAACGCAGCAGCCUCAGGAGGAGCAGCGGCAGCUGCAGCAGAUGCUCGAGGGGCAGCAGCAGCAGGAGGAGUAGGAACAACAGCAGGGGGGUCAAGAGGAAAGGCCGCUCGAGCCCCCGCCUCAAGGUCUGGCUCAACCGGUACCACCGGCGCCGCAGGAGCCCGGUGAGCAGGAGGAAAAUUUGCCGGUGUAUGGCCCUCCAACCCCGGCGUGGCUCCUCCCGGGGGCGCCUGCCGCGAUCCGGGCAGAGUCUGGGCGAGCGGACGGAGUGGUGGCGCUUGCCUGUAUGAUGCGCACCCCCACCGACCCUGAGUCCGAGAUCAAGAGGACGAUCUACGGCAUGGACGGGAUCGCUCCAGGGUUCCUCCGGGAGCGUCGGGCGUGGGAGGACCGCUUUCCCUCUGAGGAGGAUGAGAUCGGGACGUCGGGAACCAAGGACGGUACAUGGAAGACGGUGGAUCACGACGGGCGGUUCCCGUGCCUUGUCGACCUGUUCCUGCGCCACGGGGGCUCCCUCGAGACCGUCGAGAACCUUAUCCGCGGUGUCAAGGCUCGGGCUGAUCGGGAGAUGGAGAACUGGUGCCCCGAUCGGAUUCGUAUCCGGGCUUCCACCGAUCCGUCCGAGCCCAACAUCUUCCUCGACGACAAGAAAGAGGCCGAGAAGUGGGAACAUGUCGAGGAGCUCCGCCUUUGGAUGAAGCACGUGGUGGGGCUCCUGUCGGACAUCAUCAAAAAUGGGCUCGGACCAGCUUAUUUCAUAAGUGUUUUUCAAUCUUUAGUCCUCGUGGAGCUUUUUGGUUUUGUAUUCUGACUGUUCGACCGCCGGCUCACAGGACAUGAAGGAAACCUCCUGCAUCAAGUCGAGCUUUAUUCACGCCACAAGGGGCGGCUGGGAGCAGCUCCCCGUCCUCAAGGACCAACUCCUCGAGUCGCAGGAGAAGCUCCUCAAGGCUUAUAAAGACCUUAUAGCGCUCGAGGAGGAGCAGAAGGCGAGGGAGGCUGCUUUGGCCGAGGCUCGAGAGGCCUCAAGAAAGGCGGAGGAGGAGACGACGCUGCUGCGGGAGCGGGCUCUGACGGUCGAGGAGGCCGCGUCUAGAGCCCGGGAGGAGGCCCUGUCCUACAAGAGCGUUAUCGCGGACCUGGACAAAGAGAAGGGCCUUCUCAAAACCGACCUGGACUCUCUCCGAGAGUCCUUCUAGAAGAUGAAGGUGGAGCACGUGAACGGCGAGAUCGCUAGGAGCGCCGCGGAGGAAGCCAAGAGGAAGGCCCUCGAAGAUCUCGAGGCGGAGCGGGCUCAAUCCCACAGGCUCUCUGACGACGUCGAACGUCUGAAGGGAGAGCUAUUGGAGAAGAGCGGGGCCAUUGCUCAGGCUGGCAAGGCGAUCGAGGACCUCCGUGUUGCCAACACCGAGCUGGCACGCUCCAACAGAGAGAUCGAGAGGGCCAACACCAGGCUGGUCUGCGAGAACACGGCCCUGGAGGAGACCGUCCGCGGUACGUUUCCUCUGUCAGAUUUCUUUUUUCGAGGUGUGCUUGGUUUUUCCUAAGGUUUCUUGUAUUGGCAUUUACAGGACUUAAGGACGAACUCCUAGCAGCCCAAGACGAGUCGAGGGAGGGACCUCGAGGCGACGCACUGGUCGACCAGCUGUGCUACUUGGGCGCGACGCUGAGAGACCGAGUGCGGGACGCCCUCCACAUCGGGGUGAAGCGGGCGAUGGUAGUUGUCUGCUCGGGCUUCUCCUAUGACAUGGAGGUGGUGUCCCAAGGCUUCGUCACCGACAUCUCCAAGACCGACGCGGAGAACGAAGAGAGGCUCCACGCCUUGAUCGACGACGCGGAGGCUCCUGGAGAGAGGCUGGCCAAGCUUUUUGAGCCUGAGGUGCUUCCUCCUGAGACUAGCUCGGGCGGAGGCGAGGGUGGUGAGGAUCGUUCUCUGGACUGAGGCAAGCGAGCCUGCUCAGGGUGCCCGGGGCUCCUUGUAUAAUACUUUGUUAAUCCUGUUGUUAAGCGAUACAGUAUCUUUUUGUAAUUGUUAAAUGCUUAUUUGUCUUUCCGCUCGAGGUUCUUUUAUUUCUCUUUGUUCCUACGUUUGUGUUCCUUGUUCGAUCUUUCGUAAAAAACAGCCUCGAUCGCCUCAAGGGUGAGGAAGUGAGUAGAAUUUCCGUAGCCCGGGGGCGUAGGAGUUCUCAGGCUCGUUGUCCCUCGGCCUUUGAGGGGCUCGAGGUGCCUUAGCUACUCGAAUCGUGCAAGGUUUACUAAGUAGGAAGAGAAAAUUUCUUGGCUUUUUCGACGCACGGGGGGGGGGGGGGGUCGUCCCCCUGGUAGCCCCUGAGUGGGUGUUGACUAUGAUGGGUCAUAGUCAGCGCCCCCUUUUAACGUCGAGAUUAUGACUUGUAAAUCCUUGGUGCAAAAAGAAGUUGCUCGAGGGAAAGACUUCGUUUAUUCAUUCAUUCGUUUACAAAGUCUUGGUACAAAAUGUAAGCAGGAACAUAAGUUUAGAACUUCUAGGGGUAGAAUCGACGUAGCUGUUCAAUGUUCCAUGCGUUGGUGAAGAUCGCUCAAUUCUCAUCCGCUAACUUGUAUGUCCCUGGCUUCAGGACCUCGGCCACCACAUACGGGCCCUCCCAAGGUGGAGUCAGCUUGUGGCGUCCUUGAUUGCUUUGCCGGCGUCGUAGGACAAGGCCGCCCACGUUGAGGUCCCUCUUGCGCACAUGCUUGUCGUGGUAGCGUCGAAGUUUCUGCUGAUAUCUGGCAGAGUUGAAGAUGGCCAUGUCUCGAGCCUCCUCGAGCUGGUCGACCGCGUUUUCUUGAGUCUCCUUAUUUGAUUGCUCGUUGUAUGCUUUGAGUCGGGGUGACCCAUACUCGAGGUCUGUGGGGAGGACAGCCUCAAAACCGUAGACCAUGAAGAAUGGGGUGUACUUUGUGGCCCUUCUUGGUGUUGUCCUUAGACUCCAUAGGACCGAGGAAAGCUCCUCGACCCAUUUCUAGCCAAAUUUCUUCAAACGAUUGUAAAUCCUUGGCUUGAGUCCUUGCAAAAUCAUGCCGUUGGCACGCUCGACCUGGCCGUUAGUUCGAGGGUGGGCUACUGCGGACCAGUUCACACGGAUGUGAUGCGGAUCGCAAAAGUCCAAGAACUUUUUGCCGGUGAACUGAGUGCCAUUGUCGGUGAUGAUGACGUUGGGAAUCCCAAACCGAUGGAUGAUGUCGGUGAAGAAAAGGACGGCCUAUUCGGAGCGGAUGUUGGUGAUGGGUCGAGCCUCGAUCCAUUUGGAGAACUUGUCAAUGGCCACCAACAAGUGGGUGUACCCUCCUUUCGCCUUUUGUAGAGGUCCUACUAAAUCGAGCCCCCACACCGCAAACGGCCAGGUGAUGGGGAUCAUCUGAAGAGCGUGGGCGGGCAGAUGCGUCUGCUUGGCGUAGAACUGGCAUCCGUGACAUGAGCGUACGAGCUCGAUGGCAUCUGCCACGGCCGUCGGCCAGUAGAAACCUUGCCGGAAAGCGUUCCCUACGAGGGUCCGUGGAGCAGCAUGGUGGCCGCAAGCCCCCGAAUGUAGGUCCUCGAGGACUUUUCGGCCUUCUUCCACUGUGAUGCAACGCUGUAGGACCCCCGUCGGGCUUUGUCGAUAUAGCUCGUUGUCUUCGCCAUAGAUCACAUAUGACUUGGUCCGUCGAGCGAUACGACGGGCCUCUGAUCGAUCUUCCGGCAGCUCACCGCGGAUUAGGCAAUCGAGGAACGGUGUGCGCCAGUCGAACGGUCGACCAGGACGCCGUUCUACCUCCAUCGCUUCAGCCGUCAUCAAGAGCGUGUCGACGGUAUGGGUUGGCUGGGUAGGAGCGGCAUCGUUGCCAGCCCCCGAGCCUAAGUCGACGGAUGGCUCGAGAAGAUCUCUUGAGAACGCAUCAGGUGGCACCGUGCCUCGGGUUGAUGCAAUCUUGGCGAGUUCGUCGGCUGCCUCGUUGUAGCGUCGGGCGACAUGGACAAGCUUGAGACCAUGGAAUUUGUCUUCGAGUCGACGGACUUCUUUGCAGUACGCCUCCAUUUUCGGGUCAUGGCAGCUCAAGGUUUUCAUUACUUGGUCGAUGACGAGUUGGGAGUCGCCUCGGACGUCGAGGCGUCGGACUCCUAGCUCGAUGGCAAUCUUGAGACCGUUGUCGAGGGCCUCAUAUUCCGCGACGUUGUUAGAUGCGGCAAAAUGAAUCGUGAUGACAUACCUCAUAUGGACGCCCAAGGGUGAGAUGAACAGCAGGCCGGCCCCGGCUCCUGUUUUCAUGAGUGACCCAUCAAAAUACAUCGUCCAUAGCUCCACCUGGACCUGAGUCGGGGGAAGCUGGGAGUCUGUCCAUUCCGCGACAAAGUCUACCAGGGCCUGCGACUUGAUGGCCUUGCGAGGCGCAUAAGUGAGAGUCUCACUCAUGAGCUCGACCGACCAUUUAGUUAUUCUUCCCAUGGCCUCAUUGCUCUAGAUUAUUUCGCCUAAGGGGAAAGACGAGACCACCGUGAUGGGGUGGCCGAGAAAGUAGUGUUGCAGCUUACGGCGGGCAAGGAUUACGGCGUAGAUCAGCUUCUGGAUUUGGGGGUAACGUGCCUUGGUCUCCGAAAGCACUUCGCUGACGAAAUAGACUGGCCUCUGGACUGGUAGCGCAUGUCCCUCCUCCUGCCUUUCGACCACCACCGCUGUGCAGACGACCUAGGUCGUCGACGCAACGUAGAGGAGCAGCGGUUCUGCAGGUUGAGGUGGGACCAGGACUGGUGCUGAGGUCAGCGUCUUCUUCAGCUUUUCGAGCGCUUCCUCGGCCUUGGGGGUCUAAGAAAAAUGCUCGACCUUCUUCAGAAGUCGAUACAAUGGUAACGCCUUUUCUCCUAGUCUUGAGAUGAAACGGCUCAGAGCCGCCAGGCAUCCCGUGACUCUUUGCACACCCUUGAUGUCCCGGAUUGGCCCCAUUCUUGUGAUGGCCGAGACUUUCUCGGGGUUGGCCUCGAUGCCGCGCUGUGAAACAAUGUAGCCCAAGAGCAUGCCUCGAGGCACGCCGAAAACGCAUUUCUCGGGAUUGAGCUUGAUCUGGUUGGCGCGUAAACAGCUAAAAGCGAUCUCGAGGUCCUGGAUCAGGUCCCCUCGCCGCUUUGACUUGACGACAAUGUCGUCGACAUAGGCCUCGACUGUCGACCCUAUGUGUCCACCAAAUACGUGGAGCAUGCAGCGUUGGUAUGUAGCUCCCGCAUUUCGAAGCCCAAACGGCAUGGUCACAUAGCAAUACAUCCCAAAAGGUGUGAUGAAAGAGGUCGCGAGCUGGUCGGACUCCUUCAUUUUUAUUUGGUGGUAACCAGAAUAUGAAUCAAGGAAAGAAAGGGUUUCACAUCCCGCGGUAGAAUCGACAAUCUGAUCAAUACGUGAUAAUGGAAAAGGAACUUUCGGACAUGCUUUAUUUAGACUAGUAUAAUCGACACACAUCCUCAUUUUCCCAUUCUUUUUCUUAACUAAUACAGGGUUUGCUAACCAGUCGGGAUGAUGAACCUCCUUGAUGAAUCCGGCCGUCAAAAGCUUGUGGAUUUCCUCGCCAAUGAUCUUGCGCUUCUCAUCGAAUCGGCGCAACCGCUGCUUCACUGGCUUGGAACCGGCUCGAAUCUCCAAGGAGUGCUCGGCGACUUCCCUCGGUAUGCCUGGCAUGUCCGAGGGACUCCAUGCAAACAUGUCGGCAUUCGCAUGGAGAAAGUCGACGAGCACAGCUUCCUAUUUGGGGUCGAGGUCGGCGCUGAUCAUCAGCACCUUGCCGUCGGAGUUGUUGGGGUCGAGUGGGAUCUUCUUGGUUCCCUCAGCCGCCUCAAAGCUGCUGUUGGGUAUUCUUAACAUCAUUACCAAAAGUAGACUAAGUUCUCUAAAUCUAGUAACGGUGCCAAAAAUGCCAAACCUAUCCCUCACACCACUUAAGCCAAGUUGUCAUCCCCAG
rnacentral:lncRNA from 1 species